AUUGAAACAUGUAUAAUAUCAUAUAAGAAACAAAUCGCCAGUCUAGGUUCGAUGCAGGGUGCGGGAUGCUUGAGGCUGGUGCACUGGGAUGACCCAGAGGGAUGGUGUGGGGCGGGGGGAAGAGGGAGGGGGUUCGGGAUUGGGAACACGUGUACACCCGUGGCGGAUUCAUGUUGAUGUGUGGCAAAACCAAUACAAUAUUGUAAAGUAAAAAAAAAAAAAAAGAAUAAAAAAGAAAAAACUUUCCGCCUCCCCUCCCCCGCCCCCCAAAAAUCAUUUCUUCAGUGCUCAACCUUCUUUAUGGUCCAACUCUCACAUUCAUACAUGACUACUGGGAAAAUCAUAGCUUUGAUUAUAUGGACCUUUGUUGGCAAAAUAAUGUCUCUGCUUUAUAAUAUGCUGUCUCGGUUGGUCAUAGCUUUUCUUCCCAGGAGCAAGUGUCUUUUCAUUUCAUGGUUGCAGUUACCAUCUGAAGUGAUUUUGGAGCCCCCCAAAAUAAAGUCUGUCACUGUUUCCAUUGUUUGCCCAUCUAUUUGCCAUGAAGUGAUAGAAUCAUGAUCUUAGUUUUUUGGAUGCUAAAUUUUAAGCCAGCUUUUUCACUCUCUUCUUUCACCUUCGUCAAGAGGCUCUUUAGUUCCUCUUCACUUUCUGCCAUAAGGGUGGUAUCAUCUGCAUAUUGAGGUUACUGACAUUUUUCUCAGCAAUCGUGAUGAUGGCCAGCUCAGGAUUUCACAUGAUGUAUUUUGCAUAGAAGUUAAAUAAGCAGGGUGACAAUAUACAGCCUUGUCAUACUCCUUUCCCAAUUUGGAAACAGUCUGUUGCUUCAUAUCCAGUUCCAACUACUGUUUCUUGUCCUGCAUAUAGGUUUCUCAGAAGGCUGGUGUGGUGGUCUGGUAUUCCCAUCUCUAUUAGAAUUUUCCACAGUUUGUUGUGAUGCACAAUCAAAGGCUUUAGCAUAGUCAAUAAGGCAGAAGUAGAUGUUUUUCUGGAAUUCUCUUGCUUUUCUAUGAUCCAAUGGAUGUUGGCAAUUUGAUUUCUGGUUCCUCUGCCUUUUCUAAAUCCAGCUUGAACAUCUGGAAGUUCUCGGUUAAUGCACUGUUGAAGCCUAGCUUGGAGAGUUUUCAGCAUUACUUUGCUAGCAUGUGAAAUGAGCGCAAUUGUGUGGUAGUUUGAACAUUCUUUGGGGUUGCAUUUCUACGAUAGUCUGAUAGCACAGAAUAAUUUGUCCAAACUGUUAUCAUUUAUCUUUGUGGAUAUUUAAUAAGGUGACUCUGAUAAACUGCGUAAUCUAGACUCUGGUUAAUCUAUCAGUGUCGCUUGUUAAGAGGCUAUCUUUUCCAGACAUCAAGGCCAGAAUGCACCCUGUAGAUGAGGGAGACGCUUAUCUUAAGGGGAAUGGUUAUGUCCACUGUCAGUCAUUCUGAAGAGGGCUUACUACUGAGGCUGAGGAUGAAACCUCAGAGUGAAAGUUCUUAGUUUAGGAUGGGGGUGUGGAUACUUCCUCUUUCUGAGCUAGGGAGGUGUUUGAUCUUGACUCUCUGAGACUUGAAUAGGUUUGGAGUAGGUCUCGGGAGGAGGAAAGGGGCUCUCUCUUGCUCUGUUGGUGGUCAUUGGGAAUGAAAUAGGGAAUCAGACACUGAGAGACUGGAGUUGGCUGUUAUUUUAGUAGUAUUCAUAUGAAUGAAUUGAUUUAUUAGGGAAAUUUUUCCUUGUUCAACUGUAUGAUCAGUUUCAGAAAAGGGAAAUGUGUAAUGUAUGACAUUAUGUAAUAUAUGAUUUAUAAUCCAUACUAUUCAGAACAUUCCAGUCUCUUAAAUUAAUCUAAAAGUAAAAUUAUUGCUCCUUCUGUGCAUAAUUCUUUUUUGGGUCACCCUGUUUUGGGGAACCCAUGAUUUUGGGAACCUCAAGAAGCUGUAUAUAGAGACACACAAACAUAGAAAUAAAACUUGUGAAUAACAAAGGGGAAAAGGGAGAUUAGGAGUAUGGGAUUAACAGGUACAAAUGACUAUGCAUAAAAUUGAUUAACAGCAAGGAUUUACUCCAUAGCAUGGGAAAUUAUAUUCAAAAUCUUGUAAUAACCUAUAAUGGAGAAUAACCUGAAAAAUAUAUGUAAAACUGAAUGACUUUACUGUGCAUCUGAAACUAACACAAUAUUGUCAACCAACUAUACUUCAAUUAAAAAAGAUAGAUUCACCUUUUGAAACAGAAACUGGCAAAGAUCAAUGUUUAAGCCAUGCCAUCAGCCAAGUGGUUUGGUAUUUGUUGCUGACAGUUAGAGUAUAUUCAUGGCAUCCCAUCAUGGAGACUAGAACAUUUAUCAAAUACAGUUCAAGUGACUAGCCUAUUUGUAAAUAAGAUUAGAAUUUAUGUGGUUAUAAAAAUGCAAGUUGCCGCUGCUUACUAGUACGAUGACAAAUAUGAUGGUAGCAGUGAUGCUUUGUAAAAUUCCAUUCUAAGGGAAAUGAAGGGUGAAAAAAUUACUGUGGUAGAGAUUCCCUGUAUCUAUCAGUUAUUUAUUCUUUUAUUGCUAAAGAGUAUCCUAUUGUAUGGAUGCAACACAAUUUGUUUCUGCCCUUACAAGUUAAAGGACCUUGGAUUGUUUACAGUUUUGCAGUGAUCAUGAAAAACACGAAAACCUGCUAUAAUGCUUUGUUUUUAUGUGGACAUACAUUUUCAUUUUUGAGAAAUAAAUACAUAGGAGUGGAAGUGUGGUGUUGCAUGGUGAGUAUAUGUUUAGCUUUACAAGAACCUGGCAAACUAUUUUCCAAAGUGGCUGUACCCCUUUGCCUUCCUAUCACAAUGUAUGAGAGUUCUAGUUGCUUUGUAUCUUCAAUCCUUACCGGCACUUGGUUUUCUCAGUUUUACAAAGUUUAGCUGUUCUAAUAGAUGUGUAAUGGUAUCUCAUUGCGGUUUUAAUGUUCAUUUCCCUAAUGAUUAAGGAUUUUGAACACUUUUUGUGCUUAUUCUCCAUCCAUAUGUUUCCUUUGAUAAACUGUUCAAAUCGUGUGCCCAUUUGAAAAAUUGGUUGUUUGUUUUCUUAUUAUUGAGUUCUGUGAGUUCUUUACAAAUUCUAGAUUCAGGUUCCUUGGAAGAAGUGCAUUGUAGGUAUUUUCAUCCUGUCUGUGGCUUGUGCUUGACUUUUUCGAACAGUGUCUUUUAAACAUUGACGAAGUCCAGUUUAUUGAUUUCCUUUUAUGAAUCAUUCUUUUUGUGUUCCUUGUUAGAAAUCAUCGUGGGUCCCUAAAUGACAGAAGAAAUAUCCUAUUUUUUUCUAGGAGUUUAAUAGUUUUUAGAUUUUUAAGUUUAUGUGUAUGAUCGCUCAUGAGUUUAAUUUUUGUAUAUGGUGCUAGGUGUGGGAUAGAGUUCUUUUUUUUUUUUGGCAUAUAGAUGUUCUAUUACCAUUUGUUGAAAAGACUAAGCUUUUCUGUACAGUUGCUUUGGCACCUUUGUUGAAAAUGAACUGAUCCACUGUGUAGAUCUAUUUAAGGACUCAAUCCUGUUCCAUUAAAUCUAUAUGUUUAUAUUUGGCCAGUAUCACACUAUCUUGAUUACUACAACUUAUCAGUCAGUUCAGUUCAGUUCAGCCACUCAGUCGUGUCCGACUCUCUGCGACCCCAUGAAUCGCAGCACGCCAGGCCUCCCUGUCCAUCACCAACUCCCGGAGUUCACUCAGACUCACGUCCAUUGAGUCAGUGAUGCCAUCCAGCCAUCUCAUCCUCUGUUGUCCCCUCCUCCUUCUGCCCUCAAUCCCUCUCAGCAUCAGAGUCUUUUCCAAUGAGUCAACUCUUUGCAUGAGGUGGCCAAAGUACUGGAGUUUCAGCUUUAGCAUCAUUCCUUCCAAAGAACACCCAGGGCUGAUCUCCUUCAGAAUGGACUGGUUGGAUCUCCUUGCAGUCCAAGGGACACUCAAGAGUCUUCUCCAUAGUAUAUCUUGAAAUCAGGUUGUGUGUGUCCUCCAGCUGUUUUCAAGAUUAUUCUGAGUAUUCCAGAUCUUUUUCAGUUGUAUAUUGGUUAAGUAUUGGCUUCUGAUCACAAGUUUCUCACCUUUAAAAAUAUGAAUGAUAAUCAUAUCUAUACCAUAGAGUUAUUAGAAAGGUUUCAUUUUUGUAAAUCAUUUAGGAAGGUGUCUGGCACAUGUUAAUCUGUUGAUAACUGUUAGUUCUUAUUUUUUAAAAUUUUCAUUCUCUAAUUUGCAAGACAACUUUUCUGCUGUCUCAUCUGAAACCUGUAUUUUACUGUAUUCCUGAUACACACAUACAUGGAUGUGUGCUCAGUUGCUUAGUUGUGUCUGACUCUUUGCGACCCUAUAUACUGUAGCCUGCCAGGCUCCUCUGUCCAUGGAAUUUUUCCAGGUGAGAAUACUGGAGCGACCUGCCAUUUCCUUGUCCAGGGGAUCUGCUUGACCCAGGGAUUGAACCCGCGUCUGUUACAUCUCCUGCAUUGGCAGGUGGAUUCUUUACCACUGUGCCACCUGGGAAGCUAGACAUAUACCUGCUGUAAUUAAAAAAAAAAAAGUUUGGCAGAGAUUCACUUACUGUAAAGUAAUACUUUGGAAUAACACUUUGUGUAAUUGAGGAAUUCAAAUAUAAAUUUGAAAAGGAAUAUCAGAGUUUGGAAAUAUUUCUUGUGUAUCUCAGUCUACUAAGAUUUUGUGGAAAAUGAUACUGGAAAGCAAUGAAGAUGAUUAAAAGAUACAGUUGACCCUCUUAGCAGAGGAAGGACCAGCAUACAGGUUGGGAAGAGGACUCAGGAGUCAGAAUCCAGGAAACCUGCAACUUCCUAGCUGUGAAACCUUGAACACACUGUCUUGCAGUCUCAGUUUCCUCAUCUACAAUAGUGUCUCACAGUAUUUGCGGUGAAGAUAAGUGAGCUGAUAGUUGUGAAAGAAAGUGCUUUCUAAAGUGUAAAAUGAGGAACCCAUGGUUCCCCAUGCUAUGUACUGAGAGGCCCUGGGGUGUUGCAACGAAGUUGUAAGGGAGCUGUGGCUCAUUCUAACUUUUCUUAGGAAACACAGUAACAUUUGUUGAGUGCUGCAUGAGAUAUUAUAAUGUAUUGUUUGAUCCCAGAAUAUUAAGCAUAAAUUUAAUAUUUUGACCCCUCGAGAAAAAUUGAGUGAGGAAAUGUACUGUGAAUGAGGAAGUUUGGGCAUCUCACUGAUAAAUAUCCAUUUGGGGAAAGCUUUGUAGGUGCUGGGCACUAGGGUGUGGCAUAAAUAGGAGUUAUUUAUUUUUGGUGGUUUGGUUACUUUAUAAUCUUUAAUGUGCAUUUUUGGUACAAAGAGUUUUAAAACCCAUGUCAAGAAGCUUAUUACCAGUGGUAUUGGAAUGAACUGAUAGCAUCACCAGGUUAUGUAAAGAGCCUGGUCAAUAUCUGCCUUCAUCUCCUUACUGUCCUGAACAAACACGUGGAGUGAUCUUACAUGCUAAGUGCUUUGCACAUAUUAACUUAGUCUCUGACACACUCUCUGGAGACAUUUUAAACACCCUGUUACAGAUGAAGAAACAGGUUGCAGAGGGUAAAUUGAUUGAACCAAGGUCACUUAACUAAGUGAUGGAUGUUGACUAUAGCCGCUUGUGCCCUCAUAUGGUCUGCUAAGAAAGCCAAGGAUUGUAGGAGAGGAAAUUCUAAAUGAUUGAUGAAAUCCUAUAUAGUUCUAAAUUUAUAUUAUUUUAAAAGUCUCACUUUGAUCUCUUUUAAUUGUUUGAGGAAAGAUGCUUGUGAGGCUGGAUGGAGCUUAUCUAUCAUCAUUUUAAAUUUUUAAUGUUUUGAUAGUGUGUUUUUACAGCCUAGACUUGAUUCUACCAAAAUCUGUAUGUUGUGGCCCCAAGAAACUGUAAAAACCCAGUUUUUGUAAAUACAAAAUGUUACACUGAUUUUUAAAAUACAGUAUAAAAAAUAAAAAGAGGGAUAAGAUAUCCAAAUAAGAAAAAGUCAAUCUCCUUUUUUCAAAGAAAAGUAAUGCUUUCAUGAUGUGGUAAGUUGCCAUCAUUACUAGGAGACAUAUGGUUUCAUAAACACAAUGAGUGAACUAAGAAUGCUUGUUGAAACGUUUUGGCCAUGCAGCUUUCCAGCGCUGCAGUGAACUGGAUGAUAAUGAGACAGAAUUUGCCAGAACUCCAGUCCUCCUACAUUUUCUGAGAUCAACCAAGGAACCUGGUCUGCCUGGCCUGGCCUGUGCCGGCCUGUGCCUCCUGCCUCAUCACCUGACUCCCCUCUCUGAAUUCCCUGCCUUCCAGCUAUACCUAACCCCUUGCAGUUAUUUCCACCAACAUCUGCUCUUAGAUCUCUGUGCUUUCAGUCUUCAUUAAGAGCCCACACUCUCCAAUAGAAAUUUCUGUAAUGAUAUCCAAUACAGUAAACACUAACCACAUGUAGAUACUGAGCACAUCAAAUGUGCUUAUUGUGUUCUUGUUAUUCAGUUGCUAAGUCGUGUCCGACUCUGCGACCCCAUAAACUGCAGCAUGCAAGGCUUCCCUGUCCUUCACUAUCUCCCUGAGUAGGCUUAACUCAUGUCCAUUGAGUCAGCGAUGCUAUCCAACCACUUCAUCCUGUCACCCCUUUCACCUCUUGUCCUCAGUCUUUCCCAGCAUCAGGGUCUUUUCCAAAGAGUCGGCCUUUGCAUCAGGUGCAAAAGUAUUGGAGCUUCAGCUUCAGCGCUAGCCCUCCAAUGAAUAUUCACGGUUGAUUUCCUUUAGGAUUAACAUUUGAACUCCUUGCUGUCCAAGGGCCUCUCGAGAGUAUUCUUCAGCACCACAUUUGGAAAGCAUUAAUUCUUCUAUGCUCAGCCAUCUUUAUGUUCCAACUCUCACAUUGAUACAAAACUACUGGAAUAACUGUAGCUAAUGUGACCAAGAGGCUAAAACCUGGACUUUUUUUUUCAUUAGCUUAAAUAUCCACCAGUGGCUAGUGGCAACAGCAUGGGACAGCACAGCUCAGAUGGUCUUCACCUUUAGAAAUCACCUUCCUCCACUUCUCAGUCCUUAAUGUCAGGUCACCUCCUACUCCUUCUACAAGAUUUGAAAGUCGAUCUCCCAGGAAGCCUUCCCUAUCUUUGCUGCACCUUCUCACUCUAAAGCCAUGUGCAGAUUUCUGUGGCUCUAUGUUUGAACCCAUGGCAAAGUCUUACUUUGAUCCCAGCAGCACUAUAGUAAAGAUUUUAUGCAUCAGACUGGGAGUUCUGUGAUGUUUUGGGACUGUGUCUUUGCAUCUCCAAGUAUCCAACACAUUGCCCUGUUGCUGACCAAUGCCUCCUUUUGGGAUGAGUAAGAUUGGAAUUUCAGGCAUAAGAUUCUAUGACUAUGGAUAAGAGAUCUAUUCUAGGAGAGAGAUUGUGGAAUGUUGCACUGAUAUGAUCAACAAAUAGAAAAAGUUAAUUCACUUGACCUAAGGGAAAUGUCUGACCCACCCAGAGAAUGGAUUGCCAUUAGUUGUCACCCUUUAAAAUGAUCAUAUUGGAGGCUAUAAAUUCUCUUCAUAUUGUUGAGAAACUUAAUAUGGAACUCUGCAUUACUACAUCCAGUUCUUGGCUUAUUGUUGCCAGUUGUGGUCUAAUUCAUCUUUCAGGAAGUGGCAAACCAGUAUCUCGAAAGUACCUUAGAAAGUUUACCUGGAUAUCCCAAGCUUCUCACCUUGCCUCCUCUUUUGAGAUAAGAAUUAAACUUGAACAUCUUCCAUAAGGCAAAGUCAAAAACUCACACAAAGGAUGUUAAUAGUUUGUGUGCAAUUCUAUACCAUCACCCAAGGCUAUCCAGGCUCCCCCACUUUUUUUAACACUUGGCUAUAGCAACAUAAGUCAUUUACUUCCUCUUUUUGUUUCCCUGAUCAUCUCUAGAAAUGUUUUUUGUUCUUUUUAUCUAAAAGACUUAAAUCUAGUCAUAUAACACCAAUAUGGAUUUAUAAAUCAAGUGUGAAGAUAGUACCAAAACUCAUUUAAACUAUUUUUUAAAUGUUUUUUUCCAAAACAAAUGAUAAUGAUGAUACUAAGUAAUAAUAAUAAAAUCCAUAACACCUUCUUUAUCAGCUUGAGUGCUUCACUGUUGUUCAUCUCAGGUGUGGUUGGCAGGAGAGGGGUUUUCAUGCCUUAGAAGCUUAGCAUGUGAGACACAAAUUUGUAGAGGAUGGAGCAUGCCACAAUAUUUAGCAGUUGGUAAGAUGUUCUUACACUUAUAGGAUAGGUUUGGACUCCUGACAUUCAAUUAAAAUCAUGUAUGUUUAGUUCACGAUUCAGUUCAGUUCAGUUCAGUCGCUCCGUCAUGUCCGACUCUGCGAUCCCAUGAAUUGCAGCACGCCAGGCCUUCCUGUCCAUCACCAACUCCUGGAGUUCACUCAAACUCACGUCCAUCGAGUCGGUGAUGCCAUCCAGCCAUCUCAUCCUCUGUCGUCCCUUUCUCCUCCUGCCCCCAAUCCCUCAUGAUUAGUAAGUCUUAAAUUGCCUUCCCCCAUAAAAUAUCAUAUCCAGACAUCUGAAUAUCUUAAAAUGGUUUUGUUGAGCAUCAAAGUGUUUUCACUUAAAAAUGUUAACAUUCAAAUCAGUCACACAGCUAGCGGAUGGCAAAAGCUACAGCAGCAGUCUCGUUCAAGGAAUGAAUGUUUCCAUGUUGAGCAAGAUGUACUUGAAUGAAAUUGACAGUUGAUUCCAGGCUUCCAAGUGGAGUUUCAGAGACAUGAAGCUGACAUUGUCAUCAUCACUUUGAGUCAUUCAGGUCACCCAGGAGAAAAAUUGCUCUGACAGUAUGUUCCCUGUGACUCAGCCUGGUUGUAGGUUUUAGCCAGGGGAGUGAUUCUUUGAUAAUGUCCCCAAUGGAAAGAUGAGCUUCUGAUGGCAUCAACUGGACAGUUAGCCAAUUUCACUGAUUUUCUUUAAACUAUCGUUUUUUUUCUUACUCACCCAAGUCUGAUCUACUCCUUUAACUUUUAAAAACUUGUAUUACCUACCACAAAUUGUGUAUUGAGUAGGAGGCCAAUUCCUUUAUUUAUUCAUUUAUUAAUGGAUUCAUAGAUUUAUACAUCCAUUCGGCACAUAUUUACUAAGCAUUUGUUGUCAGCCAGGUACAAUUUUAUGCACUGGACUAAACCAGUGAUUAAAAUUAAGUCCUUGCCUUUAUGGAGUUUAUGUUCUUAGGGAGAUAGAUAGUAAACAAAUAAACACAGAUAACAUGUCCAGUGUUCCUAUGUACUAAAAUGAAAAAUAAACUGGGAUAAGAGGAUAGAAAGUGAUUGAGGUAGAGACUGCUUUUUUAUUUAGGAUGGUCAAGGAAGGUCCCUCUGAUAGUUGAAGGUGAUGUUUGAGUAGAGACCUUGGGAGGAGUGGGUACAAGUCAAAUAAAUUAUCUGAGGGAGCAGCAAAUACAACAGGCCUGUAGCACUCUGAGGGUGGACUUUGAGUAUCUGAGGAAUAGAAAGGAGGCCAGUAAGAGCAGAGCAGGACUGAGCAGAGGAGGGGCAAAUAGGAAGCAGAGAAAUGGGCUGUUGCAACGGCCUGGCUGAAAGAGCCAAGGGAACAGACACUAAUAGGAGAUAGAUUUUGCAGAGGGAACCAGGGCAAGAUCAGUCUCUCUGAGUGGAUGGAAAAACCCUAAAGUUUUUGAACAGAGGAUUACUCUGACAUGUUUUAGACAGUUCCUUUCAGCUGCUGUGAGAGAAGGGGAUGUUGCAAGGCUGGAUGCAAAGAAAACAGUUUCUUUGCAAGGAUGGAUGCAAAGGAAACAGUUGGGAGGCUGUUGGAAUGACCCACAGGCUAUGGUGACCUGGGUUGGAGUUUAGUGGUGAGAGGUGAGAAGUGGUUGAAUUAUGGGUAUAUUUUGAAGAUGUGGUCUUCAAGAUUUGCUGAAGGAUUAGAUAUGAGAUGUACUAGAAAGAGUGAAGUCAAAGACCACUUGAAGACUUUGGUGUGAGCAACUGGAAAGAUAGUGAUAGAGUUGCCCUUGGCUAAGAUAAAGAAGGCUAAAGGAGGCUUUACUUUAUUUGGGGGAGGAGUGAGGACUCAAAUGGUCAUGUGAACAUUUUGAGUCUGAAACUUCUGUUAGAUGACUCGAUGGAGAUGUCUAGUUGGAAGACAGACGUAAGGAACUGGAUAGUAGGCACACGGUCAACGUUGGGCUUAUACAAAUUGGGAGCAGUAAGUCAUAGACAGUAUACAAAGCCAUGCAGCUAUAAGAUAAAAGAUUGAAGGAAUGAAUGUAGACAGAAGACAAUGGGGGCAAAGACUGAACUCUGGGAAAGAUGACAAAGGAAUCUGAGAAAGGCUGGCCGGUGAGGUGGAUGGAGAAGUUGCUGCAGAAGCCAAGCGAAGAAGUUAAAGAAGGAGGAAGGGAUCGACCAUGGCAAAUACUACUGAGAGAACAAGUCAGAGGAUGGUUGAAGGUUAAGCAUUAGAUUUAGCAAGGUGGAGGCUAAUGCUGAUUGUAAUGAGAGGAUUUUACGAAAGAUGCUGGCCAAUAGGAAUGAAUUGAAGAGUGUGGGAAGAGAGGAAAUGAAAUUAGUGAACGCAGAAGGAUUGUUUUCAAGAGUUUUCUUGUUAAGAAGAACAAAGAAAUGGGGCGGAAGGCUGGUACUCUGUGUGCAAUUGUAUGUGUAUGGUGGUCAAGAUAUGUAACAAUCAAGGCAAGUUUUCAUUCUGUCAGAUGCUUACAGCAAUGGGCACUGAUCUUUUAAAAGAGAGAGGCACUUGAUAUUGUUACUUCUGUUCAGUGAAAGAGGAAGGUGAUUGAAUACAAGUAUCUUCAUGAAGAACAUAAUUAUUACUUUCUCUUUGUGUGCUGAUUUUUGUUGAACCAUUGCAAUAAACCAUUACUUCAUUCCUGUCUUUUGUAAUAUAACAGCAGCAGCAUUGUAAAAAAAAUGGUUAGUAUGUACAGGAAAUGUGUUAGUUUAUUUUACUUAAUUCUUGCAAUAAUUAUAUGGGGUAUCUAUUUGUAUUUUUCUAUUUUAUGGAAGAGGAAACUGAGGCUUGGCAAGAUUAUUGGCUGUUCCCAAGAUCACACAGCUUGGGUUUGUGCUUAGACAGUUUUGACCACAGAAUUUGAACUCUUGGCCACCACACGUUUACUUCCUCCUUUGCUUGCAACUGCGCUGUGAUGGGACUUGGACCUUGGGUAUCAUUUAUACAUUAUGCAUCCUUGUUAUUAUGUACAUUUAGUAGCUUCCUAUUGCUAAAGCCACCUCUUAUCUUUGCUGGCUUUCUCAUGAGGUGAAUCAUGUGCUUCUUGAGCUAUCUUAAGAGAAAGGUGGAACAAGUUGAGGCAGUGACUUAUGCUUCAGAAACUCUCAAUCACCCCCAACAAACCUGUAGUCUUCAAAAUCUUGAUUAUGGAAAUAGAAAAGUAUAGUGAGGAACAUCUUUUGUGUUUUCCAGAAUAAAUUAAAGCGACAAAAUACUCUAGUCUUGUCUAUAUGCCAAUGGUGUAAGAGAUUUGUAAGAGAUUGUAUAUAAGGAAAGAGUAUAGCUGAUUCGCUUUGCUGUGCAGUAGAAAUGAACAAAACAUUGUAAAGCAAUUAUUUGCCAAUAAAAAGUAAUUUUAAAAAGUAUAUAAGAAAUAAGCAAUAAUAAAUCAAAACAUGUUCUGCUUAUAGGAAAAAAUCUUUUUAAUUUAUUCAGUAGGUGAAAUGGGUCUACCUUCAGAAAGAAAUUGAAGGUACAAUAAAGUAAUGAAAUUGGUUAAGAAGUUGAACUCAGGUGUUAUAAGAGAUACAACAGAAAUAAAUAUAAUCCCACUUUUCUUCAACCAUGGCUCUCAGCCCUGCAGAGUACCUGAACCUAGAAGUUUUUCUCUUCAGUUAGUUUUAUGAAUCCUUCUUAAAAGUGUGCUGCUGCUGCUGCUGCUGCUGCUGCUGCUAAGUCACUUCAGUCGUGUCCAACUCUGUGUGACCCCCUAGACGGCAGCCCACCAGGCUCCCCCAUCCCUGGGAUUCUCCAGGCAAGAACACUGGAGGGGUUGCCAUUUCCUUCUCCAGUGCAUGAAAGUGAACAGUGAAAGUGAAGUCGCUCAGUCGUGUCCGACUCUUGGCGACCCCAUGGACUGUGGCCUACCAGGCUCCUCUGUCCAUGGGAUUUUCCAGGCAAGAGUACUGGAGUGGGGUGCCACUGCCUUCUCCUCUUAAAAGUGUGGUUAAUACUAAAUAUGUGUCAGUGUACAUUUCAUCUAUAAGAAGGGAAAGAAUAUUCAUCUUAAUGUCUUUCUGCUCCUCAUGGGUUAUGAGAUUGUAUGAGGUUAAGUAAAAGUUCUAGUCUAAAGGCACUUCCAAAUUGGAGCAGUUAAACAGUCUGAGUCUCUUGAUUGAAAGGUGUCAGAGCAGGGCACAAUGACUUAAAAUCUGAUUAAUGAGAAACUGUGUUAAACCAUUCUCAGAUAUCUUAGGAUCAAUGGGAUUGCUGAGCAGUUUCUUAAAUGUUCAUAAAUUAACCAGUGGAUUAAAUGCACUGUCCUUGUCUCAGAGAUUCACUGAGUUUUGUUUUGGAUAUGAUGUUUCUUACUGUUUGUGAAUUUGAGACUUAACAGCUGAUACUCUAUAGGUUUUUAGAGUAGAAAAAGGCCCAUGUUGUUAAAAUUACUGAAAAGAGUAUAGUUCUCUAAUUUCUUGUAAUAUCUGAUACUAUUCCUUAUGAGUUUUAGUAGCAUUUGAAUUAGCUGAGAAGCCUACAUGCUUUGAGAUUCUAAAGUACUGUGUCUGAAUUUUUUGAAAUCCUCAGCAUUCCGGUGUGGCCUUGUCUGUUCCUUAUUAGGAAGGAAGUGGGCACAUGAGACCUGGAAACUCUUGCUCCUGUUCUUUAGCCCUCUCCCUCAAUACCACCUAAAACACCUGCACCCGUAUUUGGAGCAUGGCUACCCUUUUCCCAUAUAAUUGAGUAUGGUCUGUGCCAAGAGUUCUUUUGUUUUCAUUUUUUUUUUCUGAAGGAGGUAAUAAAGGAAUCAUUUGAGUAUUUCUUAGGUACCUAUAUAAUGAUACACAUAAAACCAAGCUCCUCAAUCCUGUGAACUUCCAUGACUAAAUGAUCUAGCUAUACAUGUGUGAGAAAGUGUUCUGCUGGAAAUGGAAAUGUUCAAAUUAUAUACAAGCUAGAUUCAUUUUUAUCUUCUAAUUUGUUCUUUCAAAAGAAAUACCAAAAUGCAAAUGUCAGGAAAUGGUAAAUGGGGCUUUUGCCACAAGGGAGACACCUAUAAGUUUACAUGGCCUGUAGUGGAAGAGUGAGUAGCAGGACACUGGGCCUUGGAGAAUGUGAUUCUGCCUUAGGCUCCUGAAAUCUGAGUCUAGCUAUUGGUCUAACCAUGGGUAUGCAGUUAUUUUCCUGGAGUAAAUAAUGUUUGAGAUCAGUUUUGUAAGACUACAAAUGUUUUGUUCUGAAGAGUAGAAUUGGGAGCUUGCAUCAGGAAUCAGUGAACUGUGAAUGUAAAGUAAACAAAGACAUGCAAGCGUCACAGAAGAUGUGGAUGCAGGGCAGACUGCAAACCAUGAGGUUCUGUUAAAGGUAAUAGAAGUCCAGUGAGGGGGAUGUGGAUUGGAAGAAUUAUUUUAUGUUACUAGAAAUGGCAACCCACUCCAGUGUUCUUGCCUGGAGAAUCCCAGGGAUGGGGGAGCCUGGUGGGCUGCCGUCUAUGGGAUAGCACAGAGUCGGACAUGACUGAAACGACUUAGCAGCAGUAGCAGCAGAAGCCAACUUAUAUGGAAUUGUUUAUCUGCUACUCAAAUAGCAAGAACUGUAGCCCACCAGGCUCCUCUAUCCAGGCAAGAAUACUGGAGUGGGUUGCCAUUUCCUUCUCCAUGUAAUAGAUUCAGUUCAGUUCAGUCGCUCAGUCGUGUCCGACUCUUUGCAACCCCAUGAAUCGCAGCAUGCCAGGCCUCCCUGUCCAUUACCAGCUCCUGGAGUUCACUCAGACUCACAUCCAUUGAGUCGGUGAUGCCAUCCAGCCAUCUCAUCCUCUGUCAUCCCCUUCUCCUCCUGCCCCCAAUCCCUCCCAGCAUCAGAGUCUUUUCCAAUGAGUUAACUCUUCGCAUGAGGUGGCCAAAGUACUGGAGUUUUCAGCUUUAGCAUCAUCCCUUCCAAAGAACACCCAGGACUGAUCUCCUUUAGAAUGGACUGGUUGGAUCUCCUUGCAGUCCAAGGGACUCUCAAGAGUCUUCUCCAACACCACAGUUCAAAAGCAUCAAUUCUUCGGCUCUCAGCUUUCUUCACAGUCCAACUCUCACAUCCAUACAUGACUACUGAAAAAACCAUAGCCUUAACUAGAUGAACUUUUGUUGGCAAAGUAAUGUCUCUGCUUUCAAACAUGCUAUCUAGGUUGGUCAUAACUUUCCUUCCAAGGAAUAAGCGUCUUUUAAUUUCAUGGCUGCAAUCACCAUCUGCAGUGAUUUUGGAGCCCCCCAAAAUAAAGUCUGACACUGUUUCCACUGUUUCCCCAUCUACUUGCUAUAAAGUGAUGGGACCAGAUGUCAUGAUCUUCAUUUUCUGAAUGUUGAUUCAAUUAAAUCUCUAUUAAAAUCCUACCUGCCUUUUUGGAAAAGAUUGACAAAUUGAUCCUAAAAUUCACAUGAAAGUGCAGGAGUCUAGAUAGCCAAAACAACCUUGAGAAAGAAAAACAAAUCAAGAAAACUCACACUUUCUCAUUUUGAACUUAUUAUAAAAUUACAAUAUACAAGACAGUGUGUUUCUUCUAUAAGAUUAGAUAUAUAGGUCAGUGGAAUAGAACUGAGAGUCCAGAAAUAAGCCCAUACGUAUGUGGUCAAUUGAUUUUCUUAGGAUGCCAAAAUCAUUCAACGGGGAAAGAUAGUCUUUUCUACAAAUAUUGUUGUGACAAUUGUAUAUCUAUAUGCAAAAGGAUAAAGCUGGACUCCUGCCUCACAUCAUAUACAAUAAUUAACUCAAAAUCAAUUAAGACUUAAAUGUCAAUGUUAAAACAGUAAAAUUCUUAAAGAAAACAUAGAGUAAAUCUUCAUGACAUUGGAUUUGGCAAUGGUUUCUUAGUUAUAACAUCAAAACCAUAGCAAUCAAGGAAAAUAUAGAUACACUGGACUUUAUCAAAACUGACAAGUUUUGUGUGUCAGAGGACACUACCAAUAAAGUAUAAAGACUGCCCAUAAAGAUUCAGAAAAUAUUUGUAAAUCAUAUAUCUGACCAGUAUUUAUUAUCCAGAAUAUGCAAAGAAUUGUCGUAAUUCAAGAAAAUAAGAUAAAUAGCUCAAUUUAAAAAUAGGCAAUGCAUUUGAAUAGGUAUUUCUCUAAAGAAAAUAUACAAAUGCUCAAUAAGAACAUAAAAUGAUACUCAGCAUCAUUAGUCAUUAGAGAAAUGCAAAUAAAAACCACUAUGAGAUACCACUUCACACCCACUAGAGUAGCUAUAAUGAAAGAAGUGGAAAAUAACAAGUGUUGGGAGGAUGUGGAGAAAUUGGAACCCUCAAAUGUUACUGAUGAAAAUGUAAAAUGGUAGAGCCAUUUUAGAAAAGAUUUCAGCAUUUCUUCAAGAAGUUAAAUCAUAGAGUUAUCAUAGGACCCAACACUGCAUUUCUAGCUAUAUACCCAAGAAAAUUGAAAAUAUAUAUUCCUAUAUAAUUUGUACAUCAGUGUUCAUAGCGAUGCUAUUCAUAAUAACCAAAAAGUGGAAACAACCCAAACAUCCAGCAACUGAUGAAUGUAUUAACAGAAAGUGGUAUGCCCAUACAAUGGAAUAUUAUUAUGCAGUAAAAAAGAAUGAACUAUUGAUUCACUUCACAAUAUGGAUGAAUCUUGAAGACAUGCUUAGUGAAAGAAGACAGACACAAAAUGCAAUGUAUUUUAUGAUUCUGUUUAUAUGAAAUAUCCAGAAUAGGCAUAACCAUAGUGAUAAAAAUUUGCUUAGUGGUUGCUAAGGGCUGAGGGCAGGAGGGCAUAAGGAGUGACUACUAAUGGGCAGGAGAUCCCUCUGUGGGGUGAUGAAAAUGUUGGGCAAUUAAAUAAUGUUGAUGACUGCAUAACCUUGUGAAUAUACUUUUUAAAACCCCACUCAGCUAUACACUUAUAAGUACAUUUUAUUGUACAUGAACUAUAUCUCUAUUUGUAAAACACGCUACUCUCUAUAUUGGCAUAACCACAUUAUAUGACUUAAUUAUCUGACCUAGGACACAUGAGUGGGCUCUGGUCUUCUGGUGCUUUUUCUUGGCGCUCUGUUAUUAAUUAAUUGGGUAAAACUGUUCCUGUUGUAUUCAAGCGAUCUCCUCAGAGAGAAAGCCUCCACUCCAUCCAAGUUGUUACUACCCCACCACUCCUCUCUCCCAUAUCUCAGCAGGGCUCUGAGGCUUAGGAGUAUGGUAACUCCCUUGUCCUUUGGUACCAGGGUCUUCGGAGCAUGCCCAUUGUGGUGACUGAAAGGAGAGAGACUCCUCCCACUGGUAGUGAUGAACUCUCUCAUUUUUGCGGGACAGUAAGGGGCCUCCUCUGAGCCUGGGAUCAGCUGACUCCUGAAGGAAACUGAGUAUGUGCCACAUUCUCAUUUUUACCACACAUACCCCAGAAUGAUAUCCAUCUGACCUAAAUGCUGCCAUUCAUCUCAGACAGACUAAAUCUUUCUGCCCAUAGUGGAUCAGGGCCACAGGAGAGCUCCGUUACUGAUGGGGACGUUUAGUACACUUAUGUAUGGGUGUGUGGAAAGAACAAAGGGUGUCCACAUGGGUCCCAGAUCACUGUGCAGAUGCUUAUCUUUUUUUUUUUUUUUUCGCUUCUGAAACAAAAUCUGAAAUGAAUAAUCCUGCAUAUCCAGGCAAUAUUUUAAGCUUCUAAUAAAAGACAAGACAAUUUUCUCUAAAUUUGGGAAAUCAGAGUUGGAGUAAUACCCUGAGUUCUUUAAAAGUAUUUCUUUUCAGGGAGUAACCUAAAUUAUAAAGCAGAAUAAAAGAUUCAGAGCAUCAUCAGAACUUACAGGUUUUACUUCCUGCUAAAACAAAUCUAUCUAUUCUCAUUUUGUGAUGUUUACUUAUCCUGUCUUUUCUUCCAUAGACCUUCAUCUUCUCCAGAUUCUUGCUAUUCAAAUUUUUUCUUCCUUCUCAUCUCUAAACAAAAAAGAACCAAAAAGUCUUAAAUGACUGACUUGCUAUUGUUGUUGACCUCUAGUCUCUUCCCUCUUUCAGCUUGUAUUGUGAAGAGUGAAUCUGUGAAAUUAACUUGAGUUUCAGUGACUAAUGAUACUUAACCCUCCUCUCAAAAAUGAUGUAAAAAUGAACACCUUAUGAGUAAUGCUUACAGGGAAAGAGUAAGUUACCUAGAUAUUAAAUGAUCAUUUAGGCAAAAUAUUGUUACUCAAAAUGCCUUCAUAUGCACUGAAUUAUUUAUCUAGAUGUCAUUACACUGUCUCAGAAUGAGCUUCAUUACAAAGUGUCCCAACAUUUAUCAGCCAAAGCUUUUCAGAGUAUCUUGGCUCAACCAAGACUCCAUGGGUCACUUUCAUAGUAAGUAAGUAAACAAUUGAGUCAGAAAUAAUUGGCCUUGAAGAAUGUGUUUUCUAAUUCAAACUAAUUAAAAUGUGUAAACUGUGAUUCAGUUGCCUUCAGGAUUGUUUUUAAUAAAAGAGGUGUACUCCACCCAGCUAUUUUUACUUUUAACUUCUCUUUUUCGGGGUCAAGAUGCAUGAUUAUACAACCAAUGUUAAGUUCCAGGUCUAAGUCAUUGUUUCCCUCCUGUAGUAGUUUUCAUUUCUCACCGUACAUUAGGGAGUAGCUUCUUUCUUGUGUUACAAGAGGAAACGGGGUUUUCGCCUGUUGUUUUGUGUUAUAUGAAAAUUCCCCACUUUUCUCUACUUGCACCAGAGCAAUUUCCUAUAGUUUAGUGUGUGCAUGCUCAGUCAUGUCUGACUCUUUGUGACCCCAUGGAUCGUAGCCCACCAGGCUCCUCUGUCUAUGGGAUUCUCCUGGCAAGAAUCCUAGAGUGGGUUGCCAUUUCGUCCUCCAGAGGAUCUUCCUGACCCAGGGAUGGAACAGUGUCUCCUGCAUUGGCAGGCGGAUUCUUUACCACUGCACCACCAGGUUAGGUGUGGUCCAAUCAUAAGAAAAUAAAUAGAUAUUUCUAUAUAUCUAGCAUAGGUAGUUGGCUUAGUAGGCAACACUUUGUUGUUAAAAUUCUUAUCUAUUCAAACACUUUUAUUUCCCUAAUUAAAGGCCAACACUUUUACAUUUGAAAUGACAAUUCAAUUUACAAGGAAAUAUUUUGCUUGGCAAAACUGUAUCUGGACCACAACUCAUCUCAAUUUCUGAAGCUUUGCCUACUUCACGGUUUUCUCUUCUUGAGUUCUUUAAAGGCCUGAUUAACAAUGCCUCCACCCCUUAAACUGUUUUGCAUCAACUAACGAAGAAUGAAUCAUCCUUGUUAACAAGUAUUAACGGUCUAGUUGAUUUCUGGUUUUAUCCCAGGGUCAGUUCUAAAUGGAACUCUAUCUAUAUAAUGCCAAAAUCAUCAAUUAAAGAGUUCAGGAAGCAGUUAAUCCUUUGUUUAUGUUGUGUGGAUUUUUUUCUUUCUAUAAAAUUAAAUGAUUGAGUCAUAUAAAUUGUUCAUUUCAGCACUAGGAGAGUCUCAUUAGUCCUAAUCAUUUAAUUAAAUAUUUUUGGAAGAUAAUUAAUGAUGUUUAAGAAGGUAGUGUGCUAUUCUUGCUGAUUCAAGAAUGGCUACUCUAUUAAAUUGAAAUGCCAGUAAAUGGUGAGAAAAAUGCACUGUGAAAGCUAUGUUUUUCAGAUGUUACCAAGUAAGAGUAAUGGAAUCUAGUCACAGUGUUCUGUUCCCAAUUUUGCUUUUCUAAGUUCACAUCUCCCUCCUUCUAGCCACAGCACCAUCAUUUUAUCAUUUACUUUUGGGCUUUUGAAUGUGAUAGUAGGAUGGCUUUUGCAAAAUUCUUAGGUCAAUUUUUUAGCUCUAAAAAUAAAUAUAAUACAUAGAAGCAAUGAUUGAGGUGACAGCAUCUAUAAUGUUUCUCAAGGUCUGCAGAUGUUGAUGUGGUAACAGUAUAAUAUGAAUUAUUAUUGAGAAUUCCCAUAUGCUCAGAAUCAGAUGUAAAGAGGUUUCAAUCUUUUUUUUUUUUUUUUUGGACACAGAAUAUUUUUUUAAAUUCUCAAGAGAAUGCUACUCAGCCAUUUUUAAAAAAAAGAAUAAAGUCUAGCCAUUUGCAACAGCAUGGAUGGACUUGGAAGGUAUUAUGCUAAGUGAAAUCAGUCAGAUAGAGAAAGGCAUAUACUGUAUGAUAUCACUUUUAUGUGGAACCUAAAAAAUAAAACAAGCUAAUAAAUAUAACAAAAAGGAAACUCACAGACAUAGAAAAUAUACUAGUGGUUAUCAGUGGGGAGAGGAAAGGCAGGAGGAACAAGAUAGGGGUAGAGGAUUAAGAGGUACAAACUACUAUGUACAAAGUAAAUAAGCUACAAGGAUAUAUUGUACAACACAGGGAUUAUAGCCAGUAUAUUAUAAUAACUAUAAAUGGAAUAUAGCCUUUAAAAAUCGUGAGUCACUGUGUGGUACACAUGAAACAAACAUCAUACAUCAGCUAGACCUCAAUUUUUUUAAAAGACCAGAAAACAAAACCUAUAAUAUGUAUUGAAAGACUUUUGAGAUGUUUUCUUUUUUUGCUGGCGUUUGUGAUCUUUCUUAUUUAAAUUGUUGUGCUUAGUCACUAAGUCAAUAAAUAAAUACAAAUAUAUUGAAAUUUAAAUAUAGUCCUCAAAAGAGCCCUCUAAGCAAAAUACAAUUGUUCUUUUGGUGUACUUCAAAAUAAUGGCACCAUCACUUUUUUUUUUUUGGUUAAAAAAUAAUUUAAAAAUUAAUGUUUAAAAAGUUCUCAAAAGAAAACUAGCUCCUUUAGUUAUUUGUUUAAAAAAUGUAAAGUGCAGAAUGCCUGAGUAUAUUUAUCGAGAAGUAGUCAGGAAAGCUGAGUUUGUGCUCAGUCUUAUUUUGCAGAGGAUUAGAAGUGGAAUUCAGACUCCAAAAUAGAAAAGUUUCAAUAUUCCAGAGAAGAGCGAUUAGUACAUUGAAAACAUGGAUGUGAGAAAUGGCAGGAUAUCAAGGCUGGAAUGAAAACUGACCUUUUCCAGUCCUGUGACCACUGCUGAGUUUUCCAAAUUUGCUGGCAUAUUGAAUACAACGCCUUCACAACAUCAUCUUUUACAAUUUGAAACAGCUCAACUGGAAUUCCAUCUCCACCACUAGUUUUAUUCAUACUGAUGCCUCCUAAGGCCCACUUGGCUUUGCAUUUCAGGAUGUCUAGCUCUAGGUGAGUGACCAUACCAUCGUGAUUAUCUGGGUCAUGAAGAUAUUUUCUGUAUGGUUCUUCUGUGUAUUCUUGCCACCUCUUCUGCUUCUGUUAGGUCCAUACCAUUUCUGUCCUUUAAUGAGCCUGUCUUUGUAUGAAAUGUUCCCUUGGUAUCUCUCAUGUUCUUGAAGAGAUCUCUAGUCUUUCCCAUUCUAUUGUUUUCCUCUAUUUCUUUCAGUGAUCACUGAGGAAGGCUUUCUUAUCUCUUCUUGCUAUUCUUUGGAACUCUGCAUUCAAAUGGGUAUAUCUUUCCUUUUCUCCUUUGCUUUUCACCUCUCUUCUUUUCACAGGUAUUUGUAAGGCCUCCCCAGACAGCCAUUUUGUUGUUUUGCAUUUCUUUUUCUUGGGGAUGGUCUUGAUCCCUGUCUCCUGUACAAUGUCAUGAACCUCUGUCCUUAGUUCAGCAGUGAUCACAGGACUGGAAGAGGUCAGUCUUCAUUCCAAUCCCAAAGAAAGGCAAUGCCAGAGAAUGCUCAAGCUACUGCACAACUGCACUCGUCUCACACACUAGAAAGUAAUGCUCAAAAUUCUCCAAGCCAGGCUUCAACAGUACAUGAACUGUGAACUUCCAGAUGUUCAAACUGGUUUUAGAAAAGCCAGAGGAACCAGAGAUCAAAUCGCCAACAUCUGUUGGAUCAUUGAAAAAGCAAGAAAGUUCCAGAAAAACAUCUGCUACUGCUAAGUUGCUUCAGUCGUGUCCGACUCUGUGAGAUCCCAUAGAUGGCAGCCGACCAGGCUCCCCCAUCCCUGGGAUUUUCCAGGCAAGAACACUGGAGUGGGUUGCCAUUUCCUUCUCCAAUGCACGAAAGUGAAAAGUGAAAGUGAAGUCGCUCAGUCAUGUCCGACUCUUCGCGACCCCAUGGACUGCAGCCUACCAGGCUCCUCUGUCCAUGGGAUUUUCCAGGCAAGAGUACUGGAGUGGCGUGCCAUUGCCUUCUCCAGGAAAAACAUCUACUUCGCCUUUAUUGACUAUGCCAAAACUUUUGACUGUCUGGACCACAACAAACUCUGGAAAAUUCUUGAAGAAAUGGGAAUACCAGACCACCUAUCCUGCCUCUUGAGAAAUCCGUAUUCAGGUUAGGAAGCAACAGUUAGAGCUGGACAUGGAAAAACAGACUGGUUCCAAAUAGGAAAAAGAGUAUGUCAAGGCUGUAUAUUGUCACCCUGCUUAUAUGAAGAGUACAUCAUGAGAAAUGCUGGGCUGGAUGAAGCACAAGCUGGAAUCAAGAUUGCUGGGAAAAAUACCAAUAACCUCAGAUAUGCAGAUGACACCACCCUUAUGGCAGAAAGUGAAGAAGAACUAAAGAGCCUCUUGAUGAAAAUGAAAGAGGAGAGUGAAAAAGUUGGCUUAAAGCUCAACAUUCAGAAAACUAAGAUCAUGGCAUCUGGUCUCAUCACUUCAUGACAAAUAGAUGGAGAAACAGUGGAAACAGCAACAGACUUUAUUUUGGGGGGAUCCAAAAUCGCUGCAGAUGGUGACUUCAGCCAUGAAAUUAAAAGAUGCUUACUCCUUGGAAGAAAAGUUAUGACCAACCUAGACAGCAUAUUAAAAAGCAGAGACAUUACUUUGCCAACAAAGGUCUGUCUAGUCAAGGUUAUGGUUUUUCCAGUGGUCAUGUAUGGAUGUGAGAGUUGGACUAUAAGGAAAGCUGAGCACCAAAUAAUAGAUGUUUUUCAACUGUGGUGUUGGAGAAGACUCUUGAGAGUCCCUUGGACAGCAACGAGAUCCAACCAGUCCAGCCUAAAGGAAAUCAGUCCUGAAUAUUCAUUGGAAUGACUGAUGUUGAAGCUGAAACUCCAAUACACUGGUCACCUGAUGCAAAGAACCGACUUAUUAGAAAAGACCCAGAUGCUGGAAAAGUUUGAAGGUGGGAGGAGAAGGGGACAACAGAGAAUGAGAUGGUUGGAUGGCAUCAGUGACUCAAUGGACAUGAGUUUGAGUGGGCUCUGGGAGUUGGUGCUGGACAAGGAGGCCUGGUGUGCUGCAGUCCAUGGGGUCACAAAGUGUUGGACAGGACUAAACAACUGAACUGAGGAUAUCAAGUUUAAUAAUGGGAAAAUAAAAUUAGAAUAAUUAUAUUAUGUAGAGUUUAUAUACAAAUUUUAAAGUUUAUAAAGUAUUUUUAUAUAUUAACUCAGUCAAUUUUCACAAUACCUCUGUGGGAAAAUUGGGGCAAAAUCUGUUUUUUACAUUUGAAAAAACUAACACGGGGUAGGCUAAGUAAUUUGCCCAAAGCUGUAUUGCUGGUAUUGUAUUGAUGCAGGACUUCAGGAUCUUUCUUGGGAGUGAUAGUUCCUUUCCUUUGGAAAGGAAAUCAGAGCUUUAGGAUUUCUGCUUUGCCAUUAGCUGAUUUCAGCAGAAUCAGAAGAUGAGAAAGAAAGGCAAGGUUUCUAACCAUUUCCUUUAAGAUGAAUUACUAUCUUUUAUACCUUGACAUGAACAUUCAGAGGCACUAGGUCAAUGAAAAUGCUUUGGUCCACACCUCUGACUACUCCAGUCACCUGAGUCCUUUGCAUUAAUUUUAGUCAGGUGAAGACCACAUCCCUGAGAGAAAAGAGAUCUGAUUUUAGAGCUUCAUUGGAUGAUCCUAAGUCACCUGAGUGUAUCACUUCUGCCAUUUCUUAUGUAGUGAUCUCUCUUCAUGUGGCGAGGAUGGGCUCUAGAUAGGAAAUGGAAGGGGUAAAGAAGCAGAUGUUAUUGAAAACAAAAAGUGAUUUGAAAACUUAUCCCGGGGGAGAUAUCCCUUUCCAGGCCACAUGAAACUUUCAGAGACAACAUGUACAGUUUGGAGGAAAAAAAUAAUAUACCAAAUAUUUUCAUUGUAUGAACUAGAGAAAAUGAAGUUUUACCAAAUCUUUUUAGCUGAGAGAGACCUUGAUAAAACCAUGAGAAAUCAUCCAGGCAGGAGGCUUUAAUUAGAGAAGUUUCAGAAACCUUAAAUAAAAAGGAACCAGCCAUUCCUAGAAGGAAAACGAUUUUAUAGGGAGCAGGGCUUAUCCCAGCUCAAAUGCUCAUGAAAACUGAUAGCUCAAGUGGCUUCUGUUUGACAAGGAGGCUGUCAUUGUUGACAGGGAUGACUGGCAGGGUGGAAAAAGGAGGGGGAUAAAGCCUUUGCAAAAAGGCUUCAGAGGCAAUUUGACACCUUGCAAACCACAGGUGUGAAGGUAAGUGAAACUGGUAAGUAAAAGUUAGUGUUGUUUUUCAGGGUCUGACACACUGCACACUUUUAGUUCAGAAUUUAGAAGUUUGAGUGGACAAUGUGAAAAACUUUGGGACAUGAACUGCCCAGAAUUGGGGCAUCAGAGGAUUGUUUUCUGACCCUGAAGAGAUUCUUGAUACUGUUCUUGUAUUGUACUCCACAGCGCUCACCAGAGAUCUGGGCAGGCAGGAUUCAAGGAUUACAAAUAAUCAAUGAAAAAAUGGGGCAUAGUGAAUUCAGCCUGAAGAUGGAUUAUUCUCCACCAGGACUAACUCUAAGAAAUAAAACAUAAAUGCCAAGUAACUGGUAUAAAUAUUUUUAUAGGUGUUCAAAGGUGGGAGCUAUAAGUAGUUAGAGAAGCCAUUUGGGGUGAGGAGGAAGUUGAGUUACAUCUUUGAGACUGAGUAGAAUUCAGACAGCGUGGGUAAGGAUGAGCUGAGAUGAGGGCAUGUGAAGAAAUUAGGGGAAGAGUGAGAGAAAUGCUCCCCAAGAGACAAAGAAACUACUGGAACAAAGGAACAAGUGAUUGAAUUUAAUAAUCCUGAGAGGCACCAUCAGAGAAACCAAAAGUGUAUUUUAACAGUUAUUUUUCUUUGGCUUUUGGAGCUAAGCAUUUGGGUUUGCUGAGGAUAUAAACAGUUCACUGUUUUUAGGGGCAUGGACUGACCUGAAGUGGAUAAUAGAAUGGACUCUGGGACAUUGGGCUUACAACUGAACUCAGUUUUGCCAUUCUUUAGCAGUUACGAUGUCUGAGUUCACCUCUUCAUGCCUCAGGCUCCUAAUUUUUAAUUGGGAAUAGUCUUAGUAUCUCAUGCAGCUGGUAGUUGUGAGGUUCAAAGGAGAUAAAAUAUUUAAAUGUUUAUCAUAGUACUUCGCACAAUAAAUCUUAGCUAGUAUUUUAUUAUUACUGUAAUUAUAAAUAAUACUAACAACAGUAAUAAUAAUAAAAUCUCAAAGCCAAGGAACACCAUAAAAUUAUUAAUGUGCUUAUGAGCACAGCAGAGGUCAUGUGUAAAGAGUGGACCUUCAGAACCUGCUAAUGUUUUUUCCUGUCCUCCAGGAUAGAUGGAGAAAAGAAAACAAGAGCUUUAGUUUUCUCUGACCCAUCUCCCCGCAAGUCCUGAAGUCCAGGAGUGCUCACGGGGAUCCUGGCUUCUGCGUGGAUCCACGUCACUUGUUCUGGUUCUAAUUUUUCUGGUGCUAUUUCUUGUUCUGGUGCUAAUUUCUCUCUGGUGCUGAUUGCUCCCAACUCAGGUCAAGAUGGAGUAGAAUGCUUUCCUGAGUUUUCAUCAGACUAGGGUACAGGCAGACUCAAUAACCUGUGCCCUCUAUUUAUAAUUCACAUGAAGUUGUUUAUUUCUUGCUUCUCAUUUUAGCAGGAUAAGCAAGUCAAGGCAGGCCACUUUCUAGUAGAUUGUGAGAAGAUAGAUCUCAGCAUUAGCUUGACUUGUGGGUCUGAUGUGGAGAGAAGAGAGUCAAAAGGAAAUAUUCUUGUGGCUUUCUGUAUGACUGCAAGGCAGCAGGGCUGUUGUUUGCUAGAGCAGCCGAUUAAGAAGAGUGACAUUCUGGCCACUGAAUGUUAAUAGGCCCAAGUGGAAGUGUGGUGACCAACGUUGAGUCAUAGCUUGAGAGGAAACCAGUUUUACCCAUGUUUUUUUGUACUUUAGUGGAGACCCUUAGUAAGCUCUUCGAGGACAGUGGCUUUCUACAGAGGAGAGCGAUAGUAACCGUUGGCCACAGCAAAUGGCUCUUCUCACUCUUGUGUCGGAACAAGAACCAAUUAUGAGAAGCCUGGGUUUGGCUUGCUUUUGGUGUGGUUAAUGUUGGUGGGAAGGUUAGUUACAGAUCUGUUCAUUUAUUAAUGCAUUUGGUUGAACACAGGCUCUCAGGACCUCCUAUUGUUGUUGAGUGUAUUGGUCUACUUUACUCUGUCCAGGCUAACAGAAUUCAAGUCACCCUGUAUCCCCAAGAGUGUCUCACCAAGUUCCCCUUUGUCUGGCUGGGGGGCGGGCAGGUGAGGCAUCCUUGGAUGGUUAUUUGAAUAUGAAGUCUGGUGAUCUUGCACCAUCCUUGUAUAGCAACCUGAGACUUGGGAUAUUUUGUGAUUGCUCUAGGUGCUUUACCAGACAACAGGAAUAUAGAUGGCCUCUGUUUCAAUGCUAGAACCUGCUUUCUCCCAGGUUAUUCUGAGGAUGACUAGUAAUCUGAACUCUUCAACUUAAGGGAGAGCCCAGUGUCUAUGCAAGAAUAAAUACACAAUUUGAACCAACUCUACUACAGAGGAAAUCGAGUUUUAUCAGACCUGACAUACACAAUCUCUCACUCUCCUCCAUCCCAAAGUAAAUAAAACAGUGCUCAUACUGUCCUGUUAGCAGAGGGCUGGCCUCAUUUUUGGGUGUGUGAUGUUACUUAUCUGCUUUGCAAAUAUUCUCAGGUUGAAAUUUUCCAUGCCCAGUUACCUUUCUCAUGCAAAUAAAUCUCACCCAGUGUUCUAUACCAAUUAAUUUACUGAAUGAAGCAUCACUUAAAAUAUCUAUUGUGACAUUCCUGUUAGGAACUUGCUUCAAAAGCAAGUUCAGAGUAUAGACUGAGACCUAAGUAAUUCUUUCCCAGUUCUUCUGGGGAACUCCCUGCCCCGGGAGGCUUACAGGAUAGAAACUGAUACCUGCGCUUCACAAAGGGGCCUCCUCCAGUGUUGGCAGUGCCAGCACAUGGGUAAAUUGUUAUUUCUAGGAAUACUUGCACAUCUCUUCUGUUGCCAGAUGGCAAACCAACUUCUCCAGGAGAAACACUGGAAAACAAUACCACUCUGUACUGCUUCCGUGUUUUCUAUUGUGAGAAGGCUGCUACAUAAGCUGGCCUCCAGGGAUUUUAAAGCUGCUCUCUGUAUACCAAGUGGCAGCUGAUUGAUCAUUCUUUACAUGAAUCAAAUAUUUAUUUUCAGCAGCUAAAGUCCCUAACACCCGCAAGACACAACUGGUGUUCUGCUUUCCCAUUAGGAGACAGUUGCAGACCACUCUGCACCUCAGAAGAAAAACCUAUGUAAACGGUCAGGUUGCACACUUUAAAAAAAUAAAACAAAAAAAGUAAGACAAACAGGUGAGUUUUCUCAUCCUGUUAUCUAAAUCAAGUCAUCCCAGACAAGAAGGCCAAUAGCGAAGCCUAGAGAUUUUGAAAGGGAAACCACAUACUUUGUAGGUUCUGUCCCACAUUCAGGAAGAAUGGCAGGAUGUACCUCCCCAAGCAGGUACUUCAUAUUCUAGGGUAUAAUGAGGGCUGCUUUACUGCUGCUGCUAUGCAUGAAUAAGACCUCCAUGGUAAAUCAUUUCUCAAGUAGGCUUUGCUUCUCCAUUUAAAAAAAAAUAGAUUUUAAAAAAUCCUUCCUCAGAGUGAUAAACAACUCUCUGAAGUAAAGUCAUCUGGAUUACCUGGUAAUCUCUAUAAAAGACCUUCUGCAGUUGACUGAGCUCUGAUUCUGAUGAAAUAAUGCAUCAAAGUUAGAAGGAAAAAGUCUCUACUCAAGUUUUACCAAUAAAUGUGAUGGGGGGUGGUGGUGAAUGGAGAAGUACAAUGUCAAGUGUAAGACCCACCAUAAGAAUUCCACUUAGAAUUCUACCUCUGGAAAAAAAAAGAAUUCCACCUCUGGUCAAUACUUUCUUUCUUUUUUUUUUUUAAUGUAUGACACUAUUGUCUCUCGGAAAAGGCGAUGGCACCCCACUCCAGUACUCUUGCCUGGAAAAUCCCAUGGAUGGAGGAGCCUGGCAGGCUGCAGUCCAUGGGGUCGCUGAGAGUCGGACACUGAACGACUUCACUUUCAUUUUCAUUUUCAUGCUUUGGAGAAGGAAAUGGCAACCCACUCCAGUGUUCUUGCCUGGAGAAUCCCGGGGACGGCAGAGCCUGGUGGGCUGCCAUCCAUGGGGUCGCACAGAGUCAGACACGACUGAGGUGACUUAGCAGCAGCAGCAGCAGCAGCAGCCAUUGUCUCUAAGCACCAAACUCAUCCUUCUACGUCUAUAAUUUGCUUUGGGAUGCUGGAUCUCCUCGAAACACAUUUUUUCUCUGUUGCUAGCUCUUGAUUAGGUUCUACCUACCCUGGAGGAGGAAAUGGUAACCCACUCCAGUAUUCUUGCCUGGAGAAAUCUCAUGGACAGAAGAGCCUGGCAGGCUACAGUCCCUGGGGUUGCCAAGAGUCAGACAGCAAUGAGCAGCCACAUAGGGGAUGCUAGAGGGAAGCUGCAGGCCUGGAGGAGGAGAAAGUUUCUUUUUCUUCCUGUUACCUCUGAGGCCAGUUUCGCUGGUUGUUCCUUUCUGUAUCUCCCAGCAACAAUUCUUCAGCUGGUUGGUUCCAGUCACAAAACUUCAUACCAGUUGGCAAUGUUUCCCAAACUUGCAGAACCAGUCUCACAGUAGCCCCUCAGAGACAUUGUCUCAGCUGGCAGCAUCUCAGCUGGUUGACUUAGUCAACCCCAGAGGCCCUUCCACUGCCCUUCGAUAUACCAUCAUCUGCCAGCUGCCACCUCCCUGUGGAAGGUACCUCCACAGGGCCCACCCUCUAAGGCCUGAGGUCCAGCACCCUUAAAGCUGUGCUCAUGCCUCAGACAUCUGAGUGAAGGAUCCACUGGGGCUUUCCUCUAAGCAUUUGGUUUUUAAAAUUUUCCAUCUCUUCCUUUUCUUCUCCAAUCCUACAGGUGAUAACUGUAUCCUAUUUCCAUGACAACUUGGUGUUUCCUUUGUGCAUCUUAACUCAGUACCUAGUAAAUAAUUCCUUGUAUUCUUUAUAUUAAAUUCUCUCUGUUGGUAUAGUUUGUCUCUUGGCUGGUCCUGAGUGAGUGAGAGAGUAAAGUUGCUCAGUCGUGUCCACCUCUGCAACCCCCAUCCAUGGGAUUUUCCAGGCAAGAAUACUGGAGUGGGUUGACAUUUCCUUCUCCAGAAGAUCUUCCCGACCCAGGGACUGAACCCAGGUCUCCCACAUUGUAGGCAGUCGCUUUACCGUCUGAGCCACCAGGGACGUCACUGGUCCUAGACUGCGAUAAAUUAGGGGUUCUUUUCUCUACCUCACAUUUCUUUCACUUGAACAUUAACUAGAUCUUACAAGGCCUGCCUGGUGCUGACCUAAGAAUGGUGCUCUUUGAGGGGAAUAUCUUGUUAUUCUUUACUACCUGGGCCUAAAAGACAGUGUUUAGUAUGAGUUCUUAUCCUGUGCUCCAGAAAUAUGUGAGAGGUCUGCUUACUAGUUGAGUUAGCCUUUGAUAAGAUGGAAUGAGGAAAGACUUUUCAUUUUUAAUUGAUAGGGACUUACAGAUGUUCCAUUUUCUCAUCCUAGGUCUCUAUGGAAAAUUAAAGGAUCAGAAGAGUUCUUCUCACUCCACGCAUCAAAUGCUAUAGAAAUAAGAGAUCCAAAAGAUUUAUAGCAUUAGGCAAGGGAAAAAGAUCAAUGGGUUAAAGUGACAUAAUUGAAGUUUUCAUUGUUAGAAACCUCUUUUAUAAGCUGGUACACCUAAAGGCUUGGCAAAUAUCCAUACUUGUUAGCCAUCUGCAUCACCACUGACUGUGUGCAUAUCUUGAAGGAUUUAGUGAAUCAUAGACAUAUGAUCACUGCAUGGAAAAAAAUGUGUUGUGCCCAGCACACUCUUUUCCAUAAAGAAAGCAUCACUGGGAAAUACAACAUGUGGAAACAGGCCACAAAAAUGCAGCAAAUUAGUCUUUAUUAUCCACUCAUCCAUGCAGGAAAAAUUUAAAAGGUAAUAAAAUCCUUGGUUCUUAAAACUGGCACUUUAGCCUUACUGUUUUUAGAGUAAAAUACAUAGUGCUGGAUAACCACUGUGCAUCUAAGUAUUUAGUCUAGUUUUUAAUUACCUUUCAAUUUAAGAGGCAUUUCGAAUCAUGCCGUCACCUGUUCCUCAGUUUUCCACUGCAGGUUACCAUCCCAAACUACCUCAUUAAAAUAAAUGAAAACAAAUAGGAUUAUCCAAGUAAAUUGUCACUAAUGCUAUUAUAAAGUAAGAAUGGUUUGGCACCAUUCAAUAAAGCUACAAUUCUGAGCUGUAAAUGUAACACAUGGAAAUUCGGAUGACAUCUCAACUCAUUAGUUAGUCUGUUCCAUAUUUGUGCUUGCACUUGGAAUAAAUGAUAAUGUCAUUCUGUACCUGCACAGUAUCAUAAGGGUCAUUGUUUUCCCUAAUGAACAAUGAUGCAAUUCUGUGAUUCCAUGAUCCUUGUCAAGUAUCCUGUUUAUUGUAAUUUCUGAGCACAGUGGAUAAUCCUGUAACUUAAAUAUAUGUAUGCCCACACCAAAAAAUCAAACCUAUAUACCUUUCAAAAUAGUUUUCACAAGCUUCUUUCUAAAUUUUCCAGUGUUUACUGCAAGGGAGUAGAGUUGUGUUUUAAAAAAAAAGUCUAGUGCAAUAUGUGCAAACUUUUCUAGAAUUUUUAACCAUAGGCAUUUGUUUUAGGUUCAGUGUAUCUCAUAGAUAUAAUCUAAUUGAAAGAGAUUGAAAGAGAGAGAGAUGUGGACCAAAAGUGGAGAUGAACUAUCAGAAACAGAGAUGAUGAACCACCAGGAGCAAAACACAGGAAGUUCUCAGCCUGACUCAGGGGCACUCCAGAUUCAACACCCGUGAGGUGAUACUGCGUGAAGUCAUCUUUAGAAUACAGUUUAAAAAUCUGGUAUAUAAUCCAGCAUGCUGCAGCCACUGCGAACUAUGGCCUGGUGAACAACUGCAUCUCCCCCACCCCAAGUUUCCAUCCGGCCAUUCUUCAGCCAGAUGUACAGGAAACUGAGAAUCAAAGCAACGAAUGUGGUCAUAUGUAAAUAGCACAUCUGACACUAAGGGAGCAUAGGCUUUUUAAGCACAGGACUCACCACCAGGGUGACAGAGACUCUCAGGAGUGAGCAGAAACAUGAUGAUUUCUGAGAACUCGGAACAUAUGCUGAAGCCACAGUACUGAAAAGUUUGUUGUCAGUGUAGAAAACUACAGGGUCUACAUUUUGUAAGUUUUUCCUUAAGCAGUUUCUUUCCUUUAAAUGAUCAAGAUGGUGUUUCUGCCUUUCUAGCCCUGGGAGAUUUCGCAUUUUCCUCUCCACUGAUUGUGCCUCCAAUAGCUGUGUCUUAAAGGAGAAUUCCAUUAUUAUCACUUGGAACAUUAAGUAGAAUGAAGCCAAUAACAAAAUGAAGAAACUCAGGAUAGCACAGGGUAAUAAAUAUUCUUUUAGCUGCCUCUUUAGGGCUGUGUGAUAUUAGGCAAAUUACCAACUUCGAGGCUUAAUGUUUCCAUCUUAAAAAUGAGUAUAGGACACCUAUCACAGAGUUCCUGGGAUGAUUGACAUGAGAUAAUCUUUAGAAUGCAUGAAACCCAGUGUAGGCAUAUUCUGGGUGCUCAGGAAAUGUUAAUUCCCCGUUCCCUUCUUCAUUGUGUGUCCAGGCAUCUUACCAGCUUUGAAAUGACUUGGUCUAAAGAUGAUAGAAUCACAUGACACAUUUAGAAAAUUUAGUGUGUUACUAAUUUUUGGCCAGGUCAACUCAAGUCAUGAUGAAAUGGUUUGGUUCUGGAAAAUGCUAGCUUUCUAGUCUUUGGGGAAGGCUACAAAGAUAUCAGCAAUACGUGAACCGUGAACUUCCAGAUGUCCAAGCUGGUUUUAGAAAAGGCAGAGGAACCAGAGAUCAAAUUGCCAACAUCUGCUGGAUCAUCAAAAAAGCAAGAGAGUUCCAGAAAAACAUCUAUUUCUGCUUUAUUGACUAUGCCAAAGCCUUUGACUGUGUGGAUCACAAUAAACUGUGGAACACUCUGAAAGAGAUGGGAAUACAGACCACCUGACCUGCCUCUUGAGAAACCUAUAUGCAGGUCAGGAAGCAACAGUUAGAAGUGGACAUGGAACAACAGACUGGUUCCAAAUAGGAAAAGGAGUACGUCAAGGCUGUAUAUUGUCACCCUGCUUAUUUAACUUAUAUGCAGAGUACAUUAUGAGAAACGCUGGACUGGAAGAAGCACAAGCUGAAAUCAAGAUUGCUGAGAGAAAUAUCAAUAACCUCAGAUAUGCAGAUGACAUCACUCAAGUGAAGAGGAACUAAAAAGCCUCUUGAUGAAAGUGAAAGAGGAGAGUGAAGAGGUUGGCUUAAAACUCAACAUUCAGAAAACAAAGAUCAUGGCCUCUGGCCCCAUCACUUCAUGGCAAAUAGAUUGGGAAUCAGUGGAAGUGGUGGCUGCACUUUAUUUUUCUGGGCUCCAAAAUCACUGCAGAUGGUGAUUGUAGCCAUGAAAUUAAAAGACAUUUACUCCUUGGAAGGAACGUUAUGACCAACCUAGAUAGCAUAUUAGAAAGCAAAGACAUUACUUUGCCAACAAAGUCCGUCUAGUCAAGGCUAUGGUUUUCCAGUGGUCAUGUAUGGAUUUGAGAGUUGGACUAUAAAGAAAGCUGAGCACUGAAGAAUUGAUGCUUUUGAACUGUGGUGUUGGAGAAGACUCUUGAGAGUCCCUUGGACUGCAAGGAGAUCCAACCAGUCCAUUCUAAAGGAGAUCAAUCCUGGGUGUUCAUUGGAAGGACUGAUGUUGAAGUUGAAACUCCAGUAAUUUGGCCACCUGAUGCGAAGAGCUGACUCAUUUGAGAAGACCCUGAUUCUGGGAAAGAUUGAGGGCAGGAGAAGGGGACAACAGAGGAUAAGUUGGUUGGAUGACAUCACCGAGUUGAUGGACAUGGGUUUGGGUGGACUCAGGGAGUUAGUGAUGGACAGGGAGGCCUGGCGUGCUGUGAUUCAUGGGGUCACAAAGAGUCAGACACGACUGAGUGAUUGAACUGAACAGAACUAAGAUAUCAAGAGUUCAUCUUCCUACCUAGGAAAUGCACUCCAGUUGCUGCUACCUGUGUAUCAGAACCCAAAACUGAAAGAACUUAAAAGAUAGUGGCGUAAGGAGGGAAAGAAAAGAAUGAUGUGAUUCUGGAACAAAUACUUCCACAUUCUUGGGCCAAAACAGAAAGUACAGACUCAUCCAAUUAGGUCUAGACCCCCAGGGGCAACUUUGGAAAUUAUAAGUGCUCCCAAGGACAUUAGAGUUAAUAUGAAGUCCUUGGAAUAUAUAUGAGCAUGAAUUUGAUGACUGUAUAUCCUGCAUUUCCCAGGAAGGUCCAGAAUUAUAUGUUCUCUCAUGAUAAUUAGUAAUAAGGCCUCUUUUGUUUUCCAGGGUGUCACAGUUUGAAUGAUAUAUUAUAUGCUUUUUAUUGUCAUAGGAUACUCAGAAGGCUCUCAGCCUCCAAAUGUAGGUCAUGAAUCAAAAGAAUCUAUAUUGGUCCCAUUUUUCUGCCAUUGUUUUUGGUGCUCCUGAUAUCACUUCUAUUGAACACAUUUUUAUUAUCUUUGAAUAUCACCUGAGUGUACAGUAAAGAAUUAUUGGGGGUAGUUAUAUCUGUGUAUGGUUUUAAUUUUCUGAUUAUCCACUUCUUUUGGAAAUAUUAUUUACAUAACAUUCAUUUUCUCAAACUGUAAUUUUUUUCAUUUACUUCUGAGUUCUCCACUUAACUGGUUUAUCUUUUUGUUCCUGAGCACUUACACACAUUUAAUUACCAUAGCCUUAUAUUAUGUCUCGAUAUCUGAUGGGACUUGUUUCCCUCUCAUCCAAAUUGAUUCUUGUUUGUUAAAAAUGGCUUAACCAUACUUGCAAAAUUAUGUCAAAUGGCGGCCUUUUAUUUACACUUUACAAAGUAGGAAUAUCAAAAGCCUAUAAAACUUCCUUCUACCAGGCUAACCUGUUCCAUCUGAGGAUCUCAGGUUUAACAGUACACCUGGAUUUGAUUUUUCAUAUGUUUAUACAUGUUAUGGAUGGAUGGUGAGAUGUGCUUGUCUUUGGUGACAAGUGUUAUGAAAUAAAAUUUCCUCCUAAUUCAGAGCAGACUAUUAACAUGAUGGUACAAUCAAGACAUUCAUGGAAACUUAAUGACAAAAACAUUCCAAGAACUGCAGAAGGGCACUUCCCUCAUCAUUUCGUGUCACACCCAUUAAAAUGAAAAUUCCUUUUGGCACAGCUUGGGAGAAUCAAGGUAGAAGGAUUAGUUGGGUUGUGCCAGCCUAUAAAGAGCCUUUACUCCUUUAAAUUAGUACAAACUGAGCUAUUAAAUACAUAUGAAAAUUAAUGGCAUUUACAGCCAUUGUUAUGGCCAUGAUGUUAAUACCAAAACUGUUACAUCAAUAGGGAAGAGUGUUUAUGUUUAACAAGUUCACAUUGGUUGCUUUCCAAAUCUUUGAAAUGUUUUGAAAAUUGGGAGAACCUUAAAAUUGCUAAAAUAUCAAGGAUAAGCUGAAAAUGAGACUGUUGGGACACUGAGCUGUACCCAGAAUCAGACCUUCUCCUAAGCCCAUAGGAGUUUUCAUGUCAAACUUCCCAAGUCGAAUUUAUUGGGUAUGAUGGUGCUCUUUAAGAAGAGAUCUACAUGUCUGUGGAUUUCCCUAUGAAAUCUGCAGAUCUCAAUAUAAAUAAAUGGGCUUGGAUGGACUACAGAUGUACGCUAAGAGUCUGCAGAUGCAGGUUGAAUGUGCAUAUGAUAUUAAUCAAAACACAUGUGUAACUAAGGCCUUCUUCUGUCACCCUGGGUAUAAUACUGGCUAGGACAUAGAUUUUUGUAGGAAGGAGAUAGGUGUUUCCAUUUGGGUUAUCCACCCAACUUAUAACACACUCAUUAUUUAAACUGGUUGCUCCAGAUCUCCAUGUUUCCAGCAAAGCAGGAAUCUUACCACUCUACUCAUUGAUUGUGAACCUCUAUCUCCUGAAAAGGAAUCUUGAAAGUGGAGUAAGUUAAGAAAUUUCUCCUGUACUCCUUGACCUCAUCUCCAGAAGGAAGAAUAAGAUACUGUAUGGCAGCCUAGAUUGUCUAUUCAGCAAGUCAAUUAAUACACAAAGCCUUCAUUUUUAUAUCUUUUCUUCCCACCAUGUGCCCAUAUGUCUUAUCCUAAGGGCUUUCCAGGAUAGGCCUGUGCACAAAAGCACAGAACUCUCAGUGGUGUCUCCUCCAGUAUCUCCUUUGCUAAGUGAGGGCUGGAAGCCCCAGGCUAGCUUUCAUGGUCUUUCUUUUAAUAUGUGCACAUUUAAAAAUUCAAUGGUGCACAUUAACGGGGCACCAUUGGUGCACAUUCAAUGGUAAACAUUUGAAUGCACAUUUGCAUUCAAUGGUGCAAAUUUAAAAAUUUAUGGUGCACAUUUAAAAAUUCAACCCCAAAAUACAGAGCACUGACCAUGUGCUGAUCUCGACUCUAUAUUCUUGGGACACAUCAUUGAACAACACAAAAAGCUUUGCCACUGUGGGCCUGACCUUCUAACUGCUUCCCCAGGAUCGCUGCCUAUCCAUGGCAAAUAGGUUGAGGAAGUUGAAGUCUGAGUUAGCAUUCUGUCAAAGGCAGGUUUGUAUCCCUUAGUGCAAAAAUUUGAUUGAGGAAAAAAAUGGAAUUCAGGCAUAUUGAUAUAUUAACUAAAAUUAUAUUCAUUUUGAGGAAGAUGACAUGAGUCUGUUUCAGCUUUUAUUUAUCAUUUUAUUUUCAUAUCUAUUUAUGCUAUUUCCCUUUGGUGAUUUGGACAAUAGUCAUCAGUGUGAGGAACAUGUUUUCUGUACUUUAGUACAAUAGUUAGUGAUAGCUGUUGCAAAACUUGAAUCUAAUCCCUUUGUAUGAAUUGUAACAGGAUAGAAAUAAUAUCACAAUCUCAACUGAUAUAAAGGUAAAGUGAAACUGUUAGUUGCUCAGUUGUAUCUGACUCUUUGCAACCCCAUAGACUGUAGCCCUCCAGGCUCCUCUGUCCAAGGAAUUCUCCAGGUAAGAAUACUGGCAUGGGUAGCCAUUCACUUUGUCAGGGAAUCUUCCCAAUCCAGGGAUCAAACCUGGGUCUCUUGCAUUGCAGGUGGAUUCUUUACUGUCUGAACCACUAGGGAUUUAAGGGAGAUAAUAUUUAAUCCUCUCAAGCUCAUAACUUUCACAUUAAUGUGGUGAUGUAUUUGUGGAGAGGAUGGUUGUUAGUCUGAAAAUACCUUUAUUUCACCUUUCCUCUCAAAGAACAGUUUCAUUAGCUACUCAAUUCUAGGUUGGCUGUUAUUUUUCUUGGCAGUUUUUUCUUUCUCAAUCAACAUUUCACAUUAAUUUAUUAAUAGAGAUCCAAUUUCCAUUUGAUAUUCAUAUUUCCCCAAUUACUAAAAAAGAUCUUUAUAUAGUUGGUUUAUUAGGAUUAGGUUCUAGUAGGUUCUUUCACAGGUUGCAUUUCAUCAUUAACUUUCAUAAACCCCUUUUAUUUUUUUAAAGUUUUUAAAAUAUAAAUUUAUUUUAAUUGGAGGUUAAUUACUUUACAAUAUUGUAUUGGUUUUGCCAUACAUCAACAUGAAUCCGUCACAGGUAUACAUGUGUUCCCCAUCCUGAACCCCUCUCCCUCCUCCCUCCCCGUACCAUCCCUCUGGGUCAUCCCAGUGCACCAGCCCCAAGCAUCUAGUAUCAUGCAUCGAACCUGGACUGGUGAUUCUUUUCAUAUAUGAUAUUAUACAUGUUUCAGUGCCAUUCUCCCAAAUCACCCCUUUUAAACUUUACCACUAUUCUUUUUCUUACUGCCAUUUUUUUUCCUUCUGUUAAAGAAAAUAGAUCCUUCAUCAUGUAAAAUACUCACAUGAUUCUGACUUUGGUAGAUUGCUUCCUGGUAAUGUCUUAUAGUUUCUCUAACUCCUGUAUUUCCUACAAACUGGCAAUUAGAUCUUGAGGCUUGAAUUGUUCAAAGUUAGUGUGUGUGUGUGUAUGUGUGUGUGAGGGAUUGGGGGUAAAAAGCAAGGGUGGAUGACAAAGAAUAUUUCUUGGGUAGAUGCUGUGUACUAUUGCCUCAUAUCAAGAAGGACAUAACAUCUGAUUGUCAUGCUUCUAAAGGUGCUAAAACUGGCCAGAGCCCUGAGUUUAGGUAAUGCCAACCCAAUCUGUCUGUUAUAAAAUUCUGGCAAGUUGGAGAGGCAUAUUUCUUAAAGUGUUUUUUUGUCAAUAUAGAAAUAAGAUGUCAUUCUUUCAAGAAUACAAACAUUCACUAAGAAGAAAAUAAAAAUUAUCCUCUUUCACCCUCCAAAUUAUAAACACCCCUCACUGCCCCCCUCCAUAAACACAGAAAUGUUAGGUAUGUAGUUUUGUACACAGCUUUUUUUUUCAGUUAACACGAACUGAGAAGUGUUUUGGUGCAUUUACACCGUGCAACAAAUAGGAAACAAAGAGCUUUCUUGGCAGUGAUCAUGAGGUUUCUCUGAUUUCCUGAUAGAACACCAACCCCUCCUGUACUCCACAGACCUCCAAAGUAACAUAAAAUACAUGCCUUCAAGACUCUUAUUGUCAUGACUAGAGUUUACUGAAGACAUCUAGAUACCAGGCUGGGAAACACUCUGUAUAUUCUGCUACUCCAGAAGAUUUGAAGAUUUAUCCUCAAAUCAUUUGCUUUAACCUCCCAAAGUUUCUGACAGCCCACAGAAGUUAAUGGUCAGAUACUAAAUAUGCAGUUAAAAACGUGGGUUGAUAUUAUGCUGAAUCCAAAGUCAGUGUCAUUGGCAGGUAACUUAUGCAUUCAAAUAGUAUAAAAUCAAAUAACCAGAGAGGAAGCCUAUAUGUUCUGAUACCCAGAAGGUCACUGUUUGGCUAGUUGAAAAUCCAUAUAAAUAUUGUAGAAGACUGUCUAUGCAUCAAGCAGGUGUCAUAGAACAUUUAUUGUGAAAAUAUUCCAGGUCUGAAUUAGCUGUGUCCUGCGAUGGUAUAGAACUAGAGGCUCACAUGGGCUCAUAAGCAGAAGUCUACCCAGAGUGUCUCAAAUAUUUUUCUUAAUUGAUGUUGAAAUAAUGCAGCUUAGAAACCAGCAAUUCUAUAAAAGAAUCAGAUAGAUUAAAUCUGGCUUUUGAAAGUUUCUUUGGGUGGCCAAGUGCCAAAGACCACUGCUUCAAAGGUGAGCUCUUUGUGUUCUGGAUUCUGAGAUUUAUUUUGAAAAGAUGGUGGAAACAUGGGGUCCACGUCUUUUGCUGUUUUUAGACCCACAGAGUGGCAUGAUGACUCUGGGUAGUAAGAAGUCCAAAGUCAAAGACAGCUUUUGUACCUGUGCCCAUCCUGAGCCAGCUGCUGACUUCCAAUGCAGCAGAACUCUUUUAAGCAAGGACAGGGAAGAUAUAGGACACUGGAGAACACUACUUGUGCUUCUCAGGUUUCCUGAUAGAAUGUGUUAACCCUCCUGUUCACAUCACAGGCCUCCAAAGUGCUAUCAUGUACACACUGCCAUUGCUGGAGUUUCCUGGGGAGGUUUAUGCAACUUAAGUUGGGAGGCAUUCUGUAUACUCUGCUACUCUUGAAGAUUUUGAGUUCUAUCCUAGAAUCAAGUCCCUCCCCCUCCACUGCCACAAGACUCCAUAUUUGAAAUACUCUGGUGGAUGCUCUAUUUUUUGUAUCCUUUUUUAAAACCUGAAGUGUAGUUGAUUUACAAUAUAUAGUCUCGUAUGUAUUGAGUUGGUGCAAAAGUAAUUGUGGUUUCAGAUAGUGAAUUUUAAAUCAUUAUAACUAGGCUCAAACACAUCUUUGUUAAUCAAAGUAGGAACCGUUGCAAUCAACACAUUUUUGCCAACAAAUAAUUUCAUUUAUUCCUAUAGCAUAAAAAUCCAUGCUUUAGGAUUCGACAAACUUGGAAAGCAUUCUCUGCCUCCUGCUGGUUGUAGAAGCUUUUUCCCUGUAAAAAGUUGUUGAGAUGCUUGAAGAAGAGGUGGUCAGUUGGUGAGAGGCCAGGUAAAUAUGGUGGAUGAGGCAAAACUCCAUAGCUCAUUUCUUUCAACUUUUGAAGUGUUGGUUGUACAGCGUGCAGUUGGGAGUUGUUGUGUAGAAGAACUGGGCCCUUUCGGUUGACCAAUUCCAGUUGCAGGCAUUGCAAUUCUUAGUGCAUCUCAUCAAUUUGCUGAGCAUACUUCUCAGAUGUAAUGGUUUCACUGGGAUUCAGAAAGCUUUAGUGGAUCUGACUGGCAGCAGAUCACAAACAAUGACCAUGACCUAUUUUUGGUACAAGUUGAGCUUUGGGAAGUGCUUUGGAGCUUCUUCUGGAUCCAAUCACUGAGCUGAUCAUCACUGAUAGUCAUUUAAAAUCCACUUUUCAUCACACAUGACAAUCCAAUUGAGAAAUGCUUCAUUGUUGUUGCCUAGAAUAAAAGAAGAUGACACUUCCAAAGACUGUUUUUUUCCCCCCAGAAGGGCUUUCCAGAUGGUGCUAGUGGUAAAGAACCUGCCUGCCAAUAGAGGAGACAUAAGAGACACUGGUUUGAUCCCCUGGGUUGGGAAGAUCCCCUGGAGGAGGGCAUGGCAACCCACUUCAGUAUUUGUGCCUGGAGAAUCCCAUGGACAGAGGAGCCUAGAGGGCUACAAUCCAUAGGGUCUCAAAGAAUUGGACACAGCUAAAGCUACUUAGCAUGCACACACAGAGCCCAUGAGGCACCCACUUAUAAGCUUUUUCACCUUUCCAGUUUGCGUCAAAUGCCAAAGGACUGUAGAAUGGAGGACACUGAGUUCUUUGGCAACUUCUUGUGUAGUUGUAAGAGAUCGAUGAUUGCUCUCAAGUGGUCAUUGUCAACUUUCAGUGGGUGGUCAUUAUGCUUCUCAUCUUCAAGGCUUUCGUCUCCUUUGCAGAACUUCUUGAACCACUGCUGCACUGUAUGUUUAUUAGCAGCUCUUGGGCCAAAUGCAUUGUUGAUGUUGGGAGUUGUCUCUGCUGCUUUUUGACCUAUUUUGAACUCAAAUAAGAAAUUGCUCAAAUUUACUCUUUGUGUAACAUUAUUUCACUGCAUGGCAAACAGAUGGGGAAACAAUGGAAACAGUGGAAGACUUUAUUUUCUUGGGCUUCAAAAUCAUUGCAGAUGGUGACUGCAGCCAUGAAAUUGAGAGACACUUGCUCUUUGGAAGAAAAGCUAUGACAAACCUAGAUGGCGUAUUAAAAAGCAGAGACGUUACUUUGCCAACAAAGGUCCAUAUGGCCAAAGCUAUGGAUUUUCCACUAGUCAUGUAUGGAUGUGAGAGUUGGACCAUGAAGAAGGUGGAGUCCCAAAGAACUGAUGCUUUCAAACUGUGGUGUUGGAGAAGACUCUUGAGAGUCCCUUGGAUUGCAAGGAGAUCAAAUCAAUCAAUCUGAAGGGAAAUCAAUUAUGAAUGUUUAUUGGAAGGACUGAUGCUGAAGCUGAAGCUCUAAUACUUUGGCCACGUUAUGCAAAGAGCAAACUCAUUGGAAAAGACCUUGAUGCUGGGAGAGAGAAGUCAGGAGGAGAUGAGGACGACAGAGAAUGAGAUGGUUGGAUGACAUCACCAACUCAAUGGACUUGAGUCUGAGUAAGCUCUGGGAGAUGGUGAAGGAAAGGGAAGUUUGGCAUGCUGCAGUCCUUGGGGUCACAAAGAGUCAAGACACUCCUGAGGGGCAACAACAACAAUUUCCAUAGUCUAAAAUAAAUGUAAAAUAAACAGCAAGUAAUUAGUAAAAAGUAGUGGAGGGGGGGUCAUGUUUGGGAACGCAUGUAAGAAUUAAAGAUUUUAAAAUUAAAAAAAAAAAGUAAAGCAAGACAUAUAACAUAUUUAUUUAAGAAUAUAUUCUAAUAUCAAAUGGAAAAUUUCAACAAUGUAAAAACCACAAUUACAUUUGCACUAACCUAGUAAUAUAGUGAUACAAAUUGUUAUAGAUUAUACUCUACCUAAAGUCAUUGUAAACUAUUUGCUGUAUUCCUUUGUUGUACAAUCUAUUCUCAUACCUUAUUGAUUUUAUACAUACUUGUUUGUACUGUUUGAUCUCCUUAAGUACUUUCAUUGAGCUUCUCUUUAAAGUUACGCUUAUGGUUUUGACAUUUAAAAAUGUAAGAGAGUGGAAGAUGGCAUGUGCACAUUGCUUGCUAUUUUUUUUAUUUUGGUAAAAUGUUGCCAAGGAUACUAUCCACAGGACACUCCAUGUACAGCUACACUCAAAAAAAUUGUCUUUGGGGUUGAGAUCCAGGAUAAACAAAAAGACUUUUCUUAUGAAACUGGCAGACUUUCUCCUUCCUAGUAAGUAGAGUAUGUUAGCCUAAGCAGCCUUGACAAAGAUACCCCAAACCAGUGGCUUUUAAACAGAUUGGAUGCUUGUUAUUUUUCUGUGUGAAAGUCCAGACAUAGAUGGUCUAGAGCUGGUGGGAAUCUCUGCCAUUGCUGACACACAGCUUCUAUGUUUGGGUUCACAGUGAUUGUCCCAAAGAACAAAGUGCAAGGGAAUCAGAAGUGGUUUACAAUAUUUCUGCUCCCUAAUUUCUCUCACUGGUCAGAAAUUAGUCUCAUAGCCAUGCUUGUUUUUGAGGGAGGAUAAGAAAAGCUGGACUAUCAAGGAAGAAAGAGGCAUACGUAUAAUGGACAAACUCAAUAUCUGCCAAAAUUGGCUUCUCUGGCUAUCCAAAUAUCCACGUACACCCUUCCUUUCCCAAACAUAACGUUCUCCCCCAGGCUUCAAGUUCAGAAUCUCUGCAUAAUGUACCAUCCUCUCUAUCAAGUCUAGCUCUUACUCUGUAAUCUGGUGACCUAGAAACUACAAGAAAAGUUAUCUUUAGCCCCACCUUCCCCCCCAAAUACCACAAUAAACAAAGCUUUAUGACCAUUUUAUUGUGGAUAACCACAAUAACAACUCCCAUUCAGAAAAGUGAAAAAUGAUGAACACACAGCAGCUACUCAUCCAUCGCAACUGUCGCACCCCACCAGAUGGAAAUCACAGAUUCUGUGCCCUGGCAGUGCAGGGCCCUUCGGCUAGACCGGGAUGCUGGGAGCAACUCUCCUGGUCCUAUGUGAGGUUUUCUUGUCUUUAUCCUUCACAGCCACUUAUAAAGUGGGCAUAGCCUGGUGUCUGCUGGUGAGGGUUUAGGAGGUUGAGAAUUACUUUAAGCUUCAGAUGGCCACCAUCUGUUUCCGGUCAGGAUUCAGAUGGCCACCAUCUGUUUCCGGUCAGGCUCGGUCAAUACAGUUCCCUUAAAACUUAACAGACUUAUGGUCUACUUGCUACUUGUCAGUUCCAGAUACCAAUAACUACUGCCAAAGAUCUUGUCUAUCCAUAACUCUUAAGCCAAAAGAGUCUAUUCUUUCAUUUUCUGGUCUCCAUACUCAAUAUACCUCUCUCUCAUAUUGCUGGAGACUCCCUAGGACCAUCUGAAAUAAUAGCUUUGAGUGAGAUGCCAACAUCCUUAGUCUUUACCAUGGGAGUGGCCCCAUUGUCUAGUAGAGAACACUCAGUAUCAGGCUCUGAGGAAGGCUUGGCAUUAAAGUCUCAUCUCUCAGUGUAUUUGAUGUAUUAUUUUUCAAACCUUUGAAUCACCAGACUUUCAUUCAAUUUAGACUGCAGCCUGCAGGCAAUAGAGAACUUCCCAGAAAAGAAAUCUCUUGUAAGAAGACUAGCAACACCUGAAUUAACCUGUCUUUAAGCCUUUACUAAGAUUGCCAAUAAUUAAUCAUCUACUACUGGUGGUAGUUUUACCAAAUGUCUACCAUGGUAUGACAAAACUCAAGAGCUGACUGAUUUCAAGGGAUUAGAUCUGGUGGACAGAGUGCCUGAAGAACUGUGGAUGGAGGUCUGUAACAUUGUACAGGAAGCGGUGACCAAACAAUCCCCAAGAAAAAGAAAUGUGAGAAGGCAGUGUGGUUGUCUGAGGACCUGUUACAAAUAGCUGAGAAAAGAAGAGAAGCAAAAGGCAAGGGAGAAAGGGAAAGAUAUACCCAACUGAAUGCAGCAUCCCAGAGAAGAGCAAGGGGAGAUAAGAAGGCCUUAAGUGAACAAUGCGAAGAACAAGAUGAAAACAAUAGAAUGGGAAAGACUAGAGAUUUCUUCAAGAAAAUGGAGAUAUCAAGGGCAUAUUUCAUGCAAGGAUGGGCAUGAUAAAGGACAGAAAUGGUGAGGACCUAACAGAAGUAUAAGAGAUUAAGAAGAGGUGGCAAGAAAACACAGAAGAACUAUACAAAAAAUGUGUUAAUGACCUGGAUAACUACGAUGGUGUGGCCCCUCACCUAGAGCCAGACAUCCUGGAGUGUGAAGUCAAGUGGGCCUUAGGAAGUGUUACUAUGAGCAAAACUAGUGGAGGAGAUGGAAUUCCAGCUGAGAUAUUUCAAAUCCUAAAAGACAGUGCUGUUCAAGUGCUGCACUCAAUAUGUCAGCAAAGUUGGAAAACUCAGCAGUGGCCACAGGACUGGAAAAGGUCAGUUUUCAUACCAAUCCUGAAGAGGAGAAAUGCUAAAGAAUGUCUAAACUACCAUGCAAUUGCACUCAUUUAACAUGCUAGCAAGGUUAUGCUCAAAUCCUUCAAGCUAGGUUUCAGCAGUACCUGAACCGAGAACUUCCAGAUGUACACGUUGGAUUUAGAAAAGGCAGAGAAACCAGAGAUCAAAUUGCCAACUUCACUGAAUCAUAGAAAAAAGCAAGGGAAUUCUAGAAAAAUAUCGAUUUCUGCUUCAUUGACUAGGCUAAAGCCUUUGAUUGUGUGGGUCUCAACAAACCGUGAAAAAUUCUUAAAGAUAGGAAUACCAGAUCACCUUACCUGUCUCCUGAGAAACCUGUAUGCAGGUCAAGAAGCAAUGUUAGAACCAAACAUGGAACAAUGGACUGGUUCAAAACUGGUAAAGGAGUACAUCGAGGCUGUGUAUUGUCAUCCUGCUUAUUUAACUUAUUUGCAGAGUGCAUCAUGCAAAGUGCCUGGCGGGAUGAAUCACAAGCUGGAAUCAAGAUUGCCAGGAGAAAUAUCAACAAUCUCAGAUAUGCAGAUGAUACCACUUUAGUGGCAGAAAGUGAAGAUAAACUAAAGAGCCUCUUGAUGAGGGUGAAAGGAGAGAGUGAAAAAGCUGGCUUAAAACUCAACAUUCAGAAAACUAAGACUGUGGCAUCUGGUCCCAUCACUUCAUGGCAAAUAGAUGGGGGAAAAAGUAGAAACAUUGAUAGACUUUUUCUUGUGCUCCAAAAUCGCUGGAGAUGGUGAUUGUAGUCAUGAAAUUGAAACACGCUUGUUUCUUGGGAGGAAAGCUGUAACAGACCCACACAGAGUAUUAAAAAGCAGAGAAAUCACUUUGCCGACAAAGGCCCAUAUAGUCAAAGCCGUGUUUUUCCCAGUAGUCAUGUACGGAUGUCAGAGUUGGACCAUAAAGAAGGAUGAGCACCAGAGAAUUGAUCCUUUUGAAUUGUGGUGCUGAAGACUGUUGAGAGUCUCUUGGACUGCAAGGAGAUAAAACCAAUCAAUCCUAAAGGAAAUUCACCCUGAAUAUUCAUUGGAAAGUCUGAUGCUGAAGCUGAAACUCCAAUACUUUGGCCACCUGAUGCAAAGAACCAACUCAUUGGAAAAGACCCUGGUGCUGGAAAAGAGAGAAGGCGGGAGGAGGGAGGAGAAGGGGAUGACAGAGGAUGAGAUGGUUGGAUGGCGUCACCACUCAAUGGACAUGAAUUUGAGCAAACUCUGGGAGAUAGUGAAGGACAGGGAAGCCUGGCCUGCUGCAGUCCAUGGGGUCACAAAGAGUCAGACACAACUUAGUGACUGAACAACAACAGAUUUCAAAUUCUUUGUCCUCAGUAUCUGUUGCUUGACCAUUAAGGCAUUAGCAUCUGCUUAGGGUUUCUAUGUUUACUGCAGGACUCUACAUCUAGACACCAAUUUGUAUAUUAGUAGGGUACAGUCUAAUCUGGUGAAACAAAAAAUCCAAAGUUGCAUUAUUUUCUCCAAAGUGAUAGCCCAAAGGUCAGCAGUCCAGGGCUAGUACAGACAUUCUGCCAUCCUAAAUGCACAGUCCCUCUGGGUUCCAAACAACUGCCUCAGCUCCUGCUACCACAUCUGCAUCCCAUCAUGUCUAUUAUGGUAAAGAGUAUGACUUGUGAGUUGUACCUAUCAAUUCUACUUAUAUCCCAUUGGUUAGAAGUUAAUCUCAUGGCUGGAAACUAUAAGGAAAAUGUGAAGCAUCAUUUUUAGAAAGGAAUAGACACUGGUGAGCAGUUACAAUUCUCACUACAGAAUUGAGUUAUCUUAUUUUUCUUUUUGCCCAGGUAAUCAAUAAGCUCAAAGUCAAAUCUAUAGCAUGUGUGUGUUUAUUUGUGUGUGUGUGUGUGUGUAGAGGGCACAUAUCUCAGCUACAGAUUCAUGUCAUACUAAACUGUGAAUAAUCUUGCGAGGAGUAAUUAUUUAAAAUAUUACCAGACAUCACAGCUAUAGUGAGACCUAGCUCAAUGGAUGGGCUUCACUGUAAUAGCUGCUAAGAAGGGGUAGGUAUGAGGGAAUGUGACAGAAGACCAGUGAACCUUCAUUCUAGGCAGGUGGCAUGCUUCAGAACAGGUGUAAAAUGGACACCAUAGGAGGCCAUACAGGAUCUGGAUGACUUGUUGGGGCCUCCUAGGGCAAUGGAGGUGGGGGGAGGUGGUGGAAAGUCUGAUCACUGUUAACUUUUAUUGUGUACCUACCCAUGCCAAGCAACAUGUAAGGGCUUUAUAUGCCUGUGUUACCUCACUUAAAACAAGGGUGCCCUGGAAGUCAAACAGAACAAGACAGUCUCAGGUGCCAGGAAACUGGAUACAGCUGCUAACAUUGUCUUGCACUAGUUUAGCAAGAGCGUUCACAGAGCUGGUCUCAUUUGACCCUCCUGGAGCCCUGCUGUGUAGGUUGGACAAAGGUAAAGGAACAAGGCCCCAAGAAGCCAGGGAAUAUAGAAGUCCCAGACCUGGGACUCCAGCCCGUGCCUCCCUGCAACCUCAUCUCACUACACCUGUAAUUUUACAUGCCUCCGAAUUCUACAUCAUUUCACCAAGAUUUGGUCUCAUAUCUAAAACAAAGUUUAAGAAUGUCUUCAAAGUGGGAGCAUAGGAAGAUUUUUAGAUGAAUAAUGGAAUAAAAGGUUUCAGUGUGAAAACAUUGCAAAUACUUGACUCUAAAAGCUAAGAAAGAACUUUCUCAUUGAGGCUGAGGUUUCAGGGCUCCUUCCUGUUGAGGCCAGUCCCUCCCUUGUGCAUAUUCUUGUCUCCUUGGAGACAUUGUAUAUGAUCCUCCCUUCCCCAAAGACUUUUUACCUUCAGCCUCUCAGCCUUCCUAAAUCUUGCCUAUUCUACAGGAAGGGAGAAUGGCCUGCCAACUUCUACCUCAUCCUCUCCUCUCUAGAGUCCUCAAGAUGCCCAACAAUAGGCAUGGUUCAUGCCUCACAUCUAGUCACACCUUCCUCCGAAAAUGGGACUUUGCUUCUGAUACCUUUUCUGCUUGUCAUUGGUGAUCUCCAGACAGCAAAUUCAGUGGGCUUGUUUCCAUCCCUUCCUUCCUGGUCUUCCUGGGGCAUUUGAUACAAAUGGCCUCUACCUCCCUUCUCCUUUUCUGCCCCUGAUACCACUACAUCUUGAAUAUUCUAAGAAUUCUUGUGGAUCAAUUCUCUCUGUCCAUAGCUCAUAUAUUAGAGUCUUUGAGCGUGUUCCUAUUUCGUUCCUAUUCUUUCUCACUCUUAGCCUCUCUGCCUAGAUAUUUAUCUCCAUCUCCAUCUCAUCUUAUAUCUAUAUUACAGCUCCCCAAACUCCUGAAGAAAAAACUCAUUUCUUAUUGAACAAUCCACAUUUUCCCCACAAAUGUCCAUCAACAGCUGAAAUUGAUUACUUUUGAAACUGAACUUAUAUUUUCCCCCUGCUCAACCCUGGACAUCUUCCCAUUGCUCAUGCUGACUGGUGACACCACUAGCCACCUCAUCUCCCAAAGGAGAAAUCUGGGAUCAUGCAGGACACAUUCCUUUCCUCACCCCUCACCCAACCAUUCUGCAUCUCCUUGACUUUGCCUUCUAGCCUUCUCUGGCAUCAAUCCUCUCCUUGUCAUCUUCUCCACCACAGCUGAAGUCCAGAUCACCCUUGGCUUCUUCCUAGAGAGUGGUAGUAGGUUUCAGAUUGGUUCCACUGCCUCCAGACUCAUUUUUUUCCCAUCCAGGGAGACUACCAUGUUGAUCUUGCUAAACCACAGGUCAAAUUCUUCUUAAAAUCCGUAAUAACUCCCCAUAGACUACAAAAUGAAAUCUGAGCUUUUCUUCAGGGUAUGUAAAAUCUUCAAGAGCCGUGCCCUAUUUUUCUACCUCCCCAGCCUUAUCCUCAGCUAUUCUUCCAUCUGCUGGCCCUUCCAAUUCCUCUUCCCCUAUUCCUUUGUCUGCUAUGUUCUUUUUUUCCAAACUCUGUCUAUAAUAUUGUAUUAUCUCUAUGAUCUAUUCACCAAAUUUUCCUAAGCAUCCUUAGGAAACUCUACAUAGAAGAGUUUAAUGCUUUUACUAAGCCUCAAAAGAUGAAGAAAAGCCCCUCCCAUGGAGCCUCCCUUGGCCCCCAAAGAGCCUUCUACCUCUUCCCUGUAUUACACUGCUGCCCUGAUAUGUUGACUUCUUUCUCCUGAUGGACCAUGAGCUCCUUUAGUGUAGGGACCACAUCACAGUCCUGGGAGUAGCCCCAGUGCUAAGCACAGUGCCGAUGCUUUGUAGACCUCAGUAAACUUAUUAAAUUAGACUGAAUCAGAGUAGCUCAAAGCCAAGGAGCUCAUUAGUGGCAAGUGUUUGGCUAAAGAGAAACGGCACCCUAUCCUCAGGAAAACUGGGCCUGGAAUCUUGACCUCAUUAGCACCCUGUUCUAACCCAACCUGCCAACUGACUCUGACUUUCCAAAUGUUAACACAAGGCAUCAGCACAUGUGAGCUAAGGAUACACACACCAAGUAUCAACAUGGGAUAUGGAUAUGUAGUAUAUGGAAACUAAACUCCUUUCACUCACCAAGUUUAUAGCCCUUUUAAACUGCCUGAGUUAGUUUUGAAUCAAACCCAGAUUUUCUAGUGUUUCAGUUCAUUUUCUUUUGGCAAACACAUCUUCCUGUUGUUAAGAAGAAAGGAUUUGCAAAGAUUAUUUAAAGGUUGAACUGGUUUCUUGAACAUCAACUAACUCUUACAGUAUAGAUUUUAAUGGUAUGAGUGUAAAUGAAUUAGAAACAUAUGGAUUCAUACCUUCCUAGAAUCUUUAGGCUAUUUAAAAAUUUAAAGGAGAUAUUUGAGAGAAAAUAUGCUAUGGUUUUUCCAGUGGUCAUGUAUGGAUGUGAGAGUUGGACUGUGAAGAAAGCUGAGCACCAAAGAAUUGAUGCUUUGAACUGUGGUGUUGGAGAAGACUCUUGAGAGUCCCUUGGACUGCAAGGAGAUCCAACCAGUCCAUUCUGAAGGAGAUCAGCCCUAGGAUUUCUUUGGAAGGGAUGAUGCUAAAGCUGAAACUCUAGUACUUUGGCCACCUCAUGCAAAGAGUUGACUCAUUGGAAAAGACUCUGAUGCUGGGAGGGAUUAGGGGCAGGAGGAGAAGGGGACGACAGAGGAUGAGAUGGCUGGAUGGCAUCACUGACUCAAUGGACUUGAGUCUGAGUGAACUCCAGGAGUUGGUGAUGGACAGGGAGGCCUGGCGUGCUGCGAUUCAUGGGGUCGCAAAGAGUCGGACAUGACUGAGCGACUGAACUGAACUGAACUGAACUGAUGAUUGAGGUGCCAUCAUAUUCCAAACAUAGAAUAUUGAAAGAUAUUCUAUGAGUUCAAAGUACGGCUGUGCAAGCCUGUAGGAAUAUCAUUUCAUUAAUAGGUAUAUAAGUGAACUAGGUAGUAGCUACAGUUAUUACAAGUGGAGAGAAACCAUAAGAUCCUCUUUAGGCAAAAUGGCUGCCACCAGAAGACGAGAAUAAGCUCCAACUCAGAGUUUCUAAGUCUGAUCCAACUAAUAACAAAGAGAAGCUUUCUUUUAAGUUCAAUAGAACAGCCUUGUAGAGGUGGGUGUCCUAAUGUUGUUUCCUUAGGAGUGCUAGAUACAGGGAGACUUGGACACUGGAGUGAAAGGAAAGUCAUGCAGGGGUCCGACCUGUCUCUUUAAUGGAAGCUCUUUCAUUGUGAAACCACUGCCUCAUUUGGCACAAGUUGAGUGCAGGCUGGGAAGAGCAGGGUAAUUGCAGGUCAUGAUGAUCUAGUAGGAUUAGUUAGUUUAUAUAAACAUGUUCCAAGUCUAGCUAUGUUUCAGUUAAGCUGCACACGGAGAACUACCAAAGCAGGCCAGCCCUGCUUCGGUGUCACAAACUGUUUAUUUGUACAAGAGAUCCCUAGAAGUCUACUAAUCCAGGAGACAGCCAUCUUAGGGAAUUAAUGGAGCCCUCUCUGUAGUGGUUAUUUUAAAACCAGAUUAAACCAGGCCCUUGAGAAAGCAGCAUAGAAAGUAAUCCCACAUGGAGUCCCGUUGUGAAGCAGGGCAGUGGAUCUUUCGAAAGAACUUUGCUAUCACAGAGGUCUACUGAUCUCCUUCAUCCUAGAGUAAUGUGAACUGGUGUAGAGGGCUAUGGCUUACACGUUUAGGUAUGAAUAAUGUUUACAAACGGUGCUCCUUCUGUGGUUAAUGGGCCUUCUCCUCUUACCUGUUGAGAAAUGGCCAUUGCUGUAGCUUUUCUGUAGUUCAAGUGGGCAUUCAAGAAGCUUUUUUUUUCCUUUGCCUUUUUUUUCUUUAGGCCUUCAAUGGAAACCACAAAUGAAAAGUACACUAGGCAUUGUUAUUUCCUGUGGGCCAGGGACUGAGUUAGGGACUAGAUACAGAAAUGAUAAUCAUAAUAACAGAAAAAAUGAUAUAGUGUCUUCAAGGUUAUAGUCUGGGUCUGGAGGAGGGAAGAGACUAUACCAUAAACAUACCAUAAACGUAUAAUAAGAUAAGUUCUGAAACAAAGUCAAGAACAACCUGUCAGGUGAGUCUAAGCUCCUCAGGGAAGGAUCCAACACUAGGGAGGUCAAAAAAGUCUGCCAGAGGAGAUGAUGUGGAGGGAGGUCUUAAAGGGUGGGUUGGAUUUUAGUAUUCAGGUUGGUGCAAAAAGUAACUGUGGUUUUAUAUUGUUGAACUUUGCCACUUGAUAUUGGAAUACAUUCUUAAAUAAAUGUGGUUAUGUUUUACAUCAUUUUAAUGUGCGUUUCUCACUUAUUUUUUUAAUAACAUUACUUGCUGUUUAUUUUAUAUUUAUUUUAGACUAUAGAAUUGAUGUUAGACAAAAAGCAAAUUCAAGUGAUUUUCUUAUUCAAGUUCAAAAUGAGUUGUAAAGCAGCAGAGACAACUCACAAUAUCAGCAAUGCAGUUGGCCCAGGAACUGUUAACAAAUGUAUAGUGUAGUGGUGGUUCAAGAAGUUUUGCAAAGG
ensembl:lncRNA